CCGGCGGAAAAACAAAUCGGACGGAAUAUGAGUGAUUCCGGUUGGUGUAGGCCGCGAUUAGGGGUUUGCUGAAGGUGUUGACGGUGAGGUCAUGAUUUCAGGUGGCGGUGGAAUCGAUUGUGGAGAUGGAAGAAGGCGAAGGGUUUGAAUCACGGUGAGAGAGGGUUUGGUGGUGGCGAUUCACGGUGAGGUAAGCGAUUUACACGGAGGUUGAGCGGAGAUGGGAGGACGCGUUAGGUUGUGUUGCGAUGAAGAUGAUGAAGGGUUUGAGGGUUACCGUUGGUGGUGGCGAAAGGGAUUUUGACGGUGGAUUCCGUGGUUGUGUUGGUGGAAGAGGAGGAUGGAGGGUUUUGUGAGGGAGAAAGAGAGUGAGGGAUUUUGAGAGAGGCGGAGGGUUUUGUAAGGGUUUCUGUGAAGUGGAGUGUGAGCGAGAGAGGAGAGGGAAAGGUGAAGUGUGUCAUUUGUGGGUGAGUGAUUUGUGAGGAUCCGCAAUCCGAGAGAGUGAAGGGUCGGUGAAAUAGUGAGGUGUCCAUCUGAGUGGAAUUCUGUUUUGAGUGGAUUGUGGGUAGGCACGUGGAGCGUGUGAGGAUUAUACCAGCAGCUUAUGAGUGAAUUUUUUUGUUUUUAGUGGAUUGGGGGAUCCAAUGUAAGAAAUAUACAUUUUCCAUAAUUGUUAUUUAAAUAAUAAAUCAUAAAAACCUUAGUUAAUAUUUAAUUUAAACUAAUUAAUAUUUAAUUUACACUAACUAAUAUUUAAUUUUAAACACAUUCUAAUUUAUUUUAAUUAAAUAUCAAAAAAAAUAUUGACCCAUUAAAAAUAGAAAUCGAGUACGAAUUUAUUCGAAAAAUUGAACCGGUCACACUAAAAUUGUCAGCACAAAACCCUACUUAAAAAAAAUGCAGUCUUUCUUCAAAUCUUUAACGAUUCAACCGAUUUUCUGUAUUCUCAAAAUAAAUUCAUUCUGACUGACAUAUCAGGCAUUAUUCAUGAUGCAAUGUAUAUAAUGUCAUGCAUGUGAUGCUAAAUUAAAAAUUAAAUUAAUUCUAUGAAAGUUUAAAUAUGCCCGGACAAAAUUGGGGUAUGACACAACCCAGGCAUAUCUUGAUACGACCAGGCGAAUAUCUCCACAUACUCAGCAUCUCAAUCAACCUUCUCUUGACAUCUUCCUUCAAAGCAGCCCCGAUCUUAAUAUCUCUUCUGGCAUCCUCAGUACCGAGAUUAAUAAUCUCCAACUCCUCCUGAUGAGGUUGGAUGACCCUUUCCUCCUGCUUCAAUAAUCUGACCAGUUCCUUAGGGAGUUCACAAUCUUCCUCACUCUCCUCUUCAGCUUGGUAGAUGGGAUUAUUUAAAUCAUACCGAGCCAUAACAGAACUGUUCAUAGUGGAGUCCGUAAGAUCGAUUCUGCAUGUUUAAUGCUUUAUUUUAGAAAAAGAGUUCAAGAAAGUCACAAAAACAAAAACAUUGCCAUUUUUAUUGUUUUUUUUUAAAAAUGAAAAUAAAAACAGAAAGACAGGGAUCACAAAAUUGUUUGCAAAACGUCCUUUAUUAAUGAUAUCAUUGAAAAAACAUGAUGAGGCCCUACAAUGAACCACCACGCCUUGGGCAGAACGUAGGGUUUUGUGCAAAAUGAAAAACAAAAGAAAAUUACUCUGUUUGAAGAGUAACUUGGACCACAUCCUCUGUCGUCCAGUUGUUGAUCGACUCCCCUGGUGCACACGGGCGAACCCAGUUCUCCAGAUCACAAUCACUGUCACAGUCUUCACCACCGGUUGCAAAGACGUCACCAAGAUUCAUCAGCCCAGCGCUGGUAAAGGUACUCGGACCUUUCUGCUCAAUCUGCUCCGCCUGCAGGGGUUGAUAACCAAUACCGAACUUAUCUUCUUUGACAGGCAGGUCCACCAUCUUGCCCCAGCCUUCUGACUUACCAGAGUUGACAACCUCCACUGCCUGCUUGUAUGAUGCAAUUGAGGCACUUGGCUUCUUCUGCUCAGCGAAAGCCACCCUCUCAAGAGCAACAGUCUCGAAUGCCUGGCAUAAAGUUUCAUGGAUCUCGGCCACUCCACCUCUAGCAACUUGAAAGAGAUAGGUGACUCACCAGAAUGUCUUCUUCACCGCACACAGUCACAAUCUGACCGUUCCAGACAUACUUCAGCUUCUGGUGGAGAGUUGACGAAACUGCCCCAGCUGCGUGAAUCCAGGGACGCCCCAAUAAGCAACUAUAUGCUGGCUGAAUGUCCAUCACAUAGAAGACAAUACUUAACACCUCCGGGCCUAUCUUCACCGACAACGUGACUUCACCAAAAACAGACCGUUUGGAUCCAUCAAAAGCACGAACAAUCAGAUCGCUCGGAGUAAGGAUAACCCCUUCAACAUCUAUCUUGCCUAGAGUCUUCUUGGGAAGCACAUUCAAAGACGAACCAGUAUCCACCAACACGUGUGAUAAUACUGCGCCUUUGCACUCCAUGGUAAUAUGCAAGGCCUUGUUAUGGUUGCGACCUUCAGGCGUCAAAUCUAAGUCUGUGAACCCCAAACCAUGCCUGGUACUCACGUUGGCAAUGACACCCUCCAACUGGUUGACAGAGAUCUCUUGAGGCACGUAAGCCAGAUUCAGCAUUUUCAACAAGGCAUUACGGUGUGCCUCAGAGCAUAACAGCAAUGAGAGUAUGGAAAUCUUGGACGGAGUUUGAUUCAGCUGAUCUACAAUCUUGUAGUCACUCUUCUUAAUUAUUUUCAUGAACUCCUCCACGUCUUUCUCAAACGAGCCCUCAGGCGCCUCCUUCUGAGCAGAUUCUUCAUCAACCACAGCUUGUUUACCCUUAGCUUUGGCAAGAGCCUCGACAUUGUUAUCCUUCAACGGUUGUGAAGCAAACAAACGUCCGCUUCUUGUAAAACCUCCUGGUCCCCCAACAUUGUCCACAACGGGACCCACAAUCACAGGAGUUCUACUAGGCACACCAAUAGUCACCGGAGCUUGAUUCACUGGCCUGACCUGACUUUCAGCCCUUCGAUUACUACGGUAAGCAUUGUCAUACUUCCAUGGCACAUCCCUACUGUUCUCAACCGGCCUUCUUCCUGAAGCAACGAUGGUAGUUGGAGCACCGACGGUUACAGGAGCAGAAAUGGUAACAGGAAUACCACUAGUUGUAGGCGCAUUAACAGUUCUCUGGCCACGUCCCUCGGACGGUUUGAAGUAAAUGGUGACAGUUGACACCACCCCACGAUAUUUAACGGCCCGACUAAACUGUAAACAACCCUCAUCGAUCAGAUUCUGAAUACCAGCCCUCAACUGUACACAACCAUCCUCUAAACCAGCACAAUCUAAACAGUCUUGAUCACAACCCGGGUAUACUCCCCCUUUCAACAAACGAUCCUUCACAACACCCAACGGAGUCUGAAUCUCCUCAACACUGACCACCAAGUCUUCAGCUUUACCGUCUUCCAAAUUAUUCACUCUAUGCGCACCAUGCUGAGGCAUAGGAUUGUUCACAACAUUCGGCACAGGAGCAAAAUUGAUAGUUUUGGCGUCAAUUAAGUCCUGGACCUUAUGAUGAAAAGCCCUACAGUUCUCAAUGUGGUGCCCCGGAGCACCAGAAUGGAAAUCACAAUGUACGUUGGCAUCAUACCCAUGUGGUAUUUUUGUCAAUGGAGCCAUAGUACGCAACUCCAUGAACCCCAAUCUGAGCAAUUCGGGCAACAGUUCAGCAUAGGUCAUUGGCAACGGGUCGAAUCGACGAUCCGGCAUUCUCUGUCUAGGCUGAUACGGACGUUGCUGUUGUUUUUGUUGUUGUGGUGGUUGUUGAACCCUCUGUUGUUGCUGUUGUUGACGUGGCUGAGGUGCUGGAAUGGUUACAGCAGCAACCUGGUGAUACUGACCUCUGUUAGUAUUCCUUCGGUGUUGCACAUCAUUAGUCUCACCCUCCCUUCUUCUGGGUGCCCCGGCAAAUGGUUUCUUUGAAGAUGAGGAACCAGCAUCUUGGAUCUUCCCAGCUUUAAUCAAACUCUCUGUCCUUUCUCCAUAGAUUACAACAUCUGAAAAGCUACCAAACGGGCAGCUCCCCAUCCGGUCCAUGAAUACACCUUGCAAUGUACCGAUGAACAUGUCAGUCAAUUCCCUCUCCAGCAUAGGGGGUUGUACUCGUGCAGCCAACUCGCGCCACCUUUGGGCGUACUCCUUGAAACUCUCUCCAGACUUUUGACAAAGACUUUGCAACUGAGUCCGGCUCGGCGCCAUGUCCAUAUUAUGUUUGUACUGCCUCAAGAAGGCCUCACCCAAAUCCCUCCAGCUUCGGAUAGAUUCUCUCUUUAACUCCAUGUACCAAACCAAGGAAGCCCCAGACAAGCUGUCCUGGAAAAAAUACAUCCACAUUUUCUCGUCGUCUGUAUAAGCAGAGAUUUUCCUGUAGUAGGCCUGUACAUGGGUGCGAAGGCAAGAAGUACCGUUAUAUUUGUCAAAUGAGGGCGCUUUGAACUUGUAGGGAAUUCUCAACCCUUUCAACCAGCCCCAUAUUCGUGACAUCAAAACCCAAAGAGUUCUGACACUCCAUGGCUCUGAUCUUCUAAGCUAGGGCAUCAACUUUCCGAUCUCGUUCGUCGAUUCUUCCCACGACUUCAUCAUCCUCACUGAGGAGAGUAAACAUGUCUUCCUGCCUGUCAACCAGCGGAGCAGGAUGGCGCACGGGAGCACGGGUUUCUCUGGCAUUAACAGUCUCUGCAGCAAGAGGCUGUCCAUUAAUCUGAAUACCUCUCAAAUCAUCACCCAUGGCGUAAUCAUUGACGGGAGCAACAACAGCAGCAUUGUCGGUCACAGGUGCACCCACCGGUGAGGCACGACUAGGUGGUAGAACGGCUUCCUGUCUCUGGGCUAAGGCACGCAACUCCUCUUGCCCUUGAACGACCCCUUGCAUCAUGGUCAUGAAUUGGGCCAUGUUAGCCCUCAUCUCAGCCAACUCUGCCUGAACCUGGUCCAUGCUCCUCUGUUGAUUCAAUCUGGUUGCAUAGCGGUGCGUACGUUGAUCAGCAAUACUGCCUGACACAGGAACCAGAGUGAGAAGUCUCGAUCUAGAACACCUGUAAUGCAAAAUGAUAUGUGUAUGAUGCUAAUGAUGCGUAUGAUGCACAUGAUAUGUUCAUUUCUCAGACAUUCAAGAGCCCAAUUCAUCUUUCAAGAAAUGGCAACCUGCAACAAUGAACAACGCAGAAGCAGACUACACAGGAUAAUAAGCACAAAGUGAAACAUCAACAGCCAACUUUAUAGAUAUGAGCAACAAGGAUCAUACAACAAAGGUUCAAAGAUCCAAACGAUCAGAGUACAACAAUGAAUCCCAUCCAACAAGCCUGGAGGUGAUUCUCAACAUAAACAACAGAGACACAAGCUAAGACAAAUGGCCUCCAGGAAUGAGCGUCUUCAGAUAAUGGCACUGGUCUAUCAACAAGUCACAUUCUGAACAUUCUGGCAGGGGAGUGAUCUUCUCCUUCAAUUGUCUUCUGAGCUCCACAACUUCUCCUCCAAGUUGGCUCUCUGAUGCAUGUCUCAAAUCUACUUCCUUCUUCAAUUGGAUGUCUUUGUCUCUGAGUUGCUUCUCCAAGUCUCUUAUCUUCUUCUGAUAACUGGCUUCAGCUCUCUGCAACCUCAAGCACUCACAAUGCUCUGCAUUCAACAGGGUCUCCAUCUCCUCAUAGGAUCUCUUCUUACCCUUCAAUCUAGCAACAUCCUCACCCUGCAUGUCCUUGAGUUGAUGAGCCAAGUUCAACUUAUCAGCUUUGGCUUUGUACAACUCCAUCUGGGUAUCCUGUUCCUUCUCCUUCAACCGACGAUUCUCCAUCAGGGCUUGCUUAUACUGCUCAGCAGGUACGCUCUCAGCAAGGAUCAAAGGUGGUUGCUCUUGCAAUGGCUCCAUCCUAUCAUAGGGCAACAACAAAGUCUCAACUCUCUUCUUGACCCAAUCAAGGUAAUCAGGCAUAGCAACGACAAACUUCUUCCCCAGAACAGCUCCAUCCUUGACACCAAUGGUCUUCCAAGCCCUUCCUACUUGCUUCAAUCUAGCAGGGUCACUUCGCUUCUCAAAGUAUACACUUUCAGCUAUCUCAGCAUCAAGUGGUCUUCCAUUCAUCACAAACCCCAACUGGCGAAGAGAAAGAACCAGAUUGUAAUUGAUGCAACCCUUAGUCCCUACAAGUGGCACAUUACGGAACUCUCCACAACUCAUGAUGACAUUACGCACAUCCAUCCGGUAAGAUUGCCACCUGAUAUCAUAAGAGGUAAGAGACAUAAUCCUCUGAGUCCACUUAUGAGUGCUCUGAGCAUCCACGAAAGGUCCACUGACUGGCAGGAGAGACAAGAACCAUCUGAGCAACAAUGGGAGACAACAUCUGAUAGCUCCACCCUUACCAUGCCUACUGUGAAUAGCAUAGUAAGUGUCAGCUAACAAAGUAGGAAUCGGGUUCCCUCCAAUGAAGAUAGUGACUGCAGCAAAGUCUACAAAGUUGGGCAUACUCGGGAACAAGACAAUCCCAUAAAUCAUGAUGGCCAACUGAGCAUGAAAAGCCUCCCAAUUUCCCUUCUCUGCUUCUUCUCUAGCUAUCCUCAACAAGAACUUCAAAGGCAAACCCACAACAUCCCCACUUGACUUCCAAUUAUCACCCACUUCUUUGAUACUCAGAUUAAGAGCUCUGGCAACAACUCUGAAAUCAACCUCCUUUGGAACAUCCAAGAAAGGAACCUGAUACCGGAUCGGGACAUUCAGCAGAAUAGAGUACUCUUCAAGAGUAGGAGCUAGCUGAUAAUCCUGGAAAGUGAAGCAACGGAGCUCUGGGUCAUAGAACUGUAGAAGAGUCUGCAACGGCACUGGAUCUACCACCAUCCUCAAUAGUGUCAACAAAUCCCCAUACUGAUCAGCGAACCCCUUCUGAUUACCGCCGGUCACCAAGUUGCUCAACUCUAUCAAAGAAGUCAAAGGCUCACGGUGAAAACUAUAGGAGCAAGUCUUCCGCUUCAACUCUGGAACGGAUGUCAUCCCUUACAAUGAAUAGACUCCUGAAUGAACCUGAGAAAUGAUAUGCAUGAAGAGAUUAGCUUUUUUUCUUUCUUUUUUCUUUCUUUCCAUUUCUUUUUUUCAUUUUUUUUAUUGCAUUAUUUUUUGAAAAUAAACAUGCUAUGAUGCAAAUGAUGCAGACAAGACUGGCUGGCUGUGUAUCUCGGAGCACAGGAUCAAAGCUUCGACUUGAACUCGGAACCACAAAAUCAGCUGAGACCCAAAAAUCAUCUAAGACCCAAUCUGUAGAACCAAGUCACCAACAGGAUCACAAGUCACCAACAAGUCACCAACAAGUCACCAACAAGUCACCAACUGUACCUGUAAUAAUGAUCAUUCCCUCCCCACUCACGGGUGUCAUCUAGGCCAGGGUAAGGUCAGGAUCACAAGUCACCAACAAGUCACCAACAAGUCACCAACAAGUCACCAACUGUACCUGUAAUAAUGAUCAUUCCCUCCCCACUCACGGGUGUCAUCUAGGCCAGGGUAAGGUCGAGAGAAACGCAGGAUAAAUAACCCUUUCAUAGAAUAUCAUCAUAUACACACCCGAAGUAUGUAACGACGAUACCCCAUCAGAGUCUGAACUGCUCGUGAUAUCAAGUUCCGCUAAGUGGCGCAAUACUACCCGCUUCCCAUGAAUCACUAUAUUCCUAGGUGUCCUAGAUUUCACUCAUAGCCUGGUUAUUGGGCCUUUUACCUCUUGUAACUCCAACCCCAACAGAGAGACAAACACAGCACAACCAGCACAGAUGAAAAGAUGAUGCAUGCAAACAUAAAUGCAAACAAUAAAUAAAUGAAUGCAAUAAAUGAAACAGCAAAAGCAAACAAACCCUACCCUAGAGAGCGCUAGGAGAGACUCGCUUAGGGAAGAUGGACCAGCAAGAGGUCAACUUCAAAUUAUCCCCAGCAAAGUCGCCAGCUGACGCAUUACGCGAAAAACCGGCGGGAAAACAAAACAACAGAGCCGCCACCGUGCGUUAUUUAUCCCAAAAGAGGGAAAGAAAACGCUCGAAGUAAACCUGGAAAAGACAUGGUCUCGCGACCAAAGAGAGAUGGGAUCGGGAGUCGGUUAUGCGAAGAAAACCUGGAAAAGACAUGGUCUCGCGACCAAAGAGAGAUGGGAUCGGGAGUCGGUUAUGCGAAGGGAAGGUAUUAGCACCCCUACGCAUCCGUCGUACUCGACGGGAUCCACGCACAAAAGAAAGGACAAGGUUGCUAAAACUGAUCAAACACCACACAAGGCUGGAAGGAAACACAAAAAGACAAGAGAAACUAACUCGGAAGGAUAUCGCAUCCUGGGCCUACGUAGUCUGUCAGGCACAAACAUCAGAGUCGACGUAGUUCGGGACAGGGGAAGCGUGCUCGCUAGGAUGUCGCAUCCUAUGCAUACGUAUCUUCUCUGACUAGAGAAGAAUCAGAGCACUCGUAGCUCGGCUAACGCACGCCAAACGAAACCACACAGGAAACCGACUGCCAAUCGCUGGACUUACGUCAGACUCCACACAAACAGGCAAACCUGGAAACCGAAUGCCAAUCGCUGGACUUACAUCAGACUCCAAACCAACAAACACACACAGGAAACCAACUGCAGAAACCGACUGCCAAUCGCUGGACUUACGUCAGACUCCACACAAACAGGCAAACCUGGAAACCGAAUGCCAAUCGCUGGACUUACAUCAGACUCCGAACCAACAAACACACACAGGAAACCAACUGCUAAUCGCUGGACUUAUGUCAGACUCCAACAAGCAAACAAGACACAGGAAACCAACUGCCAAUCGCUGGACUUACGUCAGACUCCAAACACACACAAAGGGGGUUGAAAAAGAAAAGGGCGCCCGGAGAGAUCAGCUCAUCUCCUGCCUACGUACCUCAUCUGGUAUGAGGAUCAGGGCGACGUAGUUCCCCUACACAGGGAAAGAAGGACUAACCUAACCAGAUACAAAGGGAGACACAAACUACUAGGGAGACUACGACUCAAGCCUAAAAGUUAUCAUGCAUACCAUCCCUAUGUUAAGGUUUCUAUCUAACUUGCACAGGAAGCAAGCUAUCCUAAACAGCACAAGCAAAGUCAUACAAGCACAACAAGCAAGCACACACACUAGAUGCAAACAAAUGGGUUCAUACAAGGUUAGGCUGUGAAACACAAGCCAACUGGAAUCGGGUGUAGUUAGCUCUUAACCCUAACAUUGAGAGUUAGGGUGAAGCUGAUGAAAUGGGAAGUGAGGGUAAGACCUCACAGCUCUUANNNNNNNNNNNNNNNNNNNNNNNNNNNNNNNNNNNNNNNNNNNNNNNNNNNNNNNNNNNNNNNNNNNNNNNNNNNNNNNNNNNNNNNNNNNNNNNNNNNNUCUAAUCAUUUCGGCUUUGCCUUUUGGCUAGCCAUGCCAUUAAAAUAUAAUACCUUUAGGAACAAGAAAUCUCCUAAACAAUUGCAUUCUCAAUGGUGUGGCCAACACCGACAACAAUAAUGACAUAACCAUGAUGAUGUGGUUUUAUAUUAUUCUUGUUCAUUAAAUCCUUUGGAAUGAAAGAGUAUUUUGCAUAUGGUGGAUUUAACGACUUCUUAAACAACCUAGAGUCAACGGCAUAAGUGACCUUAGGUUGCAACGCUUUUCUAAUUUGACCUUAAGAGUGUUUACCUCUUUUGCCAAAUAUGACAAGCGUCACAAUACCUAACUCUACUACAUCCAUCAAUGUCAAUAUCUUGAAUUUUCUGCAAUACUAUCUUUCAACGCUUCUAAAUCAUUUUGAGCUUUUGAUACUUACCUUCCAAAAAGAAAAAAUAUGUUUGUCGGAAGAUAGUCUUUUAAAAGCAUCUACAGCUUCAUUAUGCAGUUUUUCAAAAGCUAUUUUUAGUUCGGAAAAAGACAUAGAGAGAAAUUAUUGUAAUAGCUGUUUUACCUUUUUUGUCAUUGUUUUUCUUCUUGUGGUGGACACAAUUUUUGUGUGAGCCAUAAGGCACAGAUUUGCGGCUUCAUCACCAUCACUUGAGCUUUGUGUGCUUGAUGAAUCACUAUCACUUUCCAUGCAAUGUACGCUCUUCUUGUUUGCUGUACCCUUUUGGUGAAGCUUUUCUUUUGAUCCUUAUACUUCAGGGCAGUCCGUUUAUAAUGUCCAGAUUUAACACAAUUAAAACAAGAUCCUCUUCCUCUACUCUUCUUGUUCUCUUCUCUUGUUUCGAAUCUGCAGAUUGUCUUCGAAACUUCAUGAGAUUUUUGUCGGAAUGCUUGACUCCAUUCUUUCGAAUGAAUCUAUUAUAUCUCCUUACAAACAGUCCCAUUUCCUCAUCAUCCGAAUCUUUUGUCGCUACUAGAAUCAUUUUCACUUUGCUCUUUUCGUGAGGACUUAGAGCUAGAGGCCACAAGAGCUAUUGGCUUCUUCUCUCCCUCUUUGUCUCUUUUCUUCUCCUUUUCCUUCUUACUUUUGUUUCUCUAUUUUCAAGACUUUCCAAUGCUUGCUGAUGUUCUUCCAGCUUUCCAAACAAGUUGUAAUCAUAAGUCUCGUUAGAUCGUUGGCUUCCUUAAUUGUUGUUACUUUAGGUUCCAUUCCCUGCUAAGACACCUGAGAAUUUUAUUAGUAGCAAUUUCAUUGGAAAUAGGUUUUCCAAGCGCAUUCAAUCAGUUGUUAGAUGAGAUGAAUCUCUUUUGCAUGUCGGAGUAGAUUCUCCUUGUUUCAUGCGAAAGAGCUCAAAUUCUUGAUUGAGUGUGUUAAUCCGGGACUGUGUUACUUCAGUAGUACCCUCAUGGGCAACUUCUAAGCAUCCACAUUUCUUUAGCUGUCGUGCAAUGGGAUACUCGAUAAUACUCAUCAACACCAAGUGCUGAAAUUAGCAUGUUUCGAGCUCCCAAUCACACGACCACUUUUUCUCAUCUUUCUCAUUCCAAUCAUCUUCUGGUUUAGGUACUUGGCGCCACCAGCCCGGUUUUCUAGUAGCGGUUCAGAAUAGACGGAAGUCGAUUCGGGACUGAUAUUUUCUGCCAACUUUAAAAACUCUGAUAAAACUUUAAAUCCGUUAAAUUUUAAAGAGGUGAUCUAUUCACCCCCCCUCUCGAUCACUAGCCACACCGUCUAACAAAAUUCAACUUUCAAGGGCAUGUGACAAGAGGAAAGAUUAUAGGUCAUUUUGCGCCAUUACCAUUGAACAAACAAUUUUCCUCAACUUCUAAAAUGCAUAAAUCCCUCAUGCUAAAUCCAAAUGAUUUAAAAUUUGUGACCUAAUUUAAUAGGGAUGAAAGAGAUAAAAAAUUUAUGAAGGAACUCUUUCCAUUUAAAGUUAAUAGAAAAAGUUAUUCAAGGUGGAAGAAGUGGUUAUUUGGCUUGGUACUUAGAAAAGUUUCAAUUAUGUUUGAUUUCUUAGAAAAGUUAUUCAAGGUGCAAAACUGAAUUCCAUUGACUAUAUAAACAAGUGCGUUGCCUCAAGAAUAACACAGACACCUUGCCCAAGCUUUGCCAAGAGAUCUCUAAACCUCACACCAUAUAAUAUCUUGAGGAUUUCUUAGAAAUCAAUUUUGAAUUUGACCUUCUGUAUUGAAGUUCAAACUCCAAGGAUUCAUUUCCUUUUUCAUCUCAAUUGGUCACUGCAAGCAAGAGGAGGAAGAAUCAAGCAAAUUCAGAUCAAGAUCAAGCUGAAUUGAAGCUACCCAAAGGUGAAAUUUAAGAAACUUGUCUUCUUCGAUUCUCCCUCAUUUCUCAACUAUUUUGAUUGAGUUUUGGUUUGAUGAAGUCCUAUCAAUGUAGGCAACAAGAUUGAGUUACUUUGAGGUCAAAUCGAAGCAACUCAGAUCACAAACCUUAAAUUUCAAAUCCAUGUAUCUUUCAAUAUACUUGGAAUUGGAAGAAAUAGAGGUCAGAUUCGUGCUCCUGAGCGGUUUGCCUUUAAACAAUGUCCUUGUUUUUCAUUUUGGUGGUGGUUUGUGAUGGACCAGUCCGAUGAGGUCCACCGGAGCUAGGUCUCUGGUGGUGCGUUGGCAUCUUCCAAACCAUCAGAUCCCUUUGAAAUGUUUUAAUCCUGGUCUUUCCUUUUGAUUACCAUGCGUGUGGUGUAGUUGACUGAGGUGUUUAUGGAACGCGCACGCUUGGCCAUCAGAUCUGUCAUCUCAAUUAAUGAGGGAGAUCUGAUGACCCUUGAUUUUUCAUAUUUUCAUAUUUUUCAUUUAAUUACCUUUUUUGUUUAAUUCAUAAUAAAUCUAUUUUUAAUCCAAAAAAUAUGGUACUUUCACCAAAAAAUCUUUAAAUAUUUUUCUCUUCCAUAUUCUAAAUAAAAUUUUUUUUUGGGAUUGAUUUUGGUAUUUUUCAUGAAUUAAAUGUUUUUAUGCAUAUUUUUAAUUAUUUAAAAAUACUUCUGACUUUUUAAAAAUUCUGAAUUUUUUUGUCUAAGGCCCUUUGGACAUGUUUGACAUAGGAUAAAUCCCUUGGCCAUUUAUUUGGUGUUUUGAAGGGAUUUUACGUUUUGUCCAAAUUAAAAUGUAUUUUAAUUCAUUUUUAAUGUGUUUUUUAAUUGAUUAAAUGUUUAAAAAUUAUUUUGAGCCAUUUUUAUGGUCUUGUGGUGUUUGACUUUAUGUUUGGGCUUUGAUAAUGGUUUAUUUGACUUUUGUUGGAUCAAAACCAUUGGAUUUAGAGGAUUUACAAAAUGUACAUUUCAUCUCCCAAAAUGAAUGGAUGGUUUUGAUUAGUUGAAAUUCCUCUCAUGAUCAAUUUGUGUUUCUAUCUCCUAAUUCCUCUUUAUCUUCAUCCCUAUUCUUCCCCAUUCCCUCAUUUGACCAAUAAAAUCUCUAAUGUCUAAAGGUUAAUUGACUCAUCAAUGACCUUGUGUCAGAUGAAUGAAUACAAGUAUGACUGAGAUACGUCCCUCCCAUUUUUGUUUAAUGUGUGGUAUGCUUUAGGAGUUUGAUUCUUCGUAUCAAAUAUCUAACAUGCAUUAAUACCUAUAUCUUAUUUCCCGACCUCAACUAGUUGUGACUUCUACAUAAUUCCAAUUACAAUUGCUUAAUAUAUAGCUAAAUUUGAUCAAGAAGGUAUGUCAUUCUAGUAAGUAAGAUUGUAAGUAUCCCAUUCUUCAUGGCAUUGUGUGGAAACUUGACAUUUUUUCCUUUCAUGAGAGCUAGUGGCAUACUUGUUGAGUUAUCCAAGGUAGAGUCCUUCUCAUGGAAGAUGUCUUGGUUUAAGGAUUCAGACUUGUGAGUGAAUGGUUGAGUGUUCUCCAAAGAAUGACUUAAUAAAUUAAAACUCAACACCAACCUUUGACUAACCAUUAACUAAGUCUUAUUCAUUAUGCUUUUACUUUCGAGUUAAUUACUUUAUGCGAUUAGUCAUUUACCAUUCAUUGUCAUUUGAACUUGUUUAUGUUUAAGUCCUUUUUCACUAUGCUCAUUUGAGCCAUAUUUUAUGAUUGUAUAUAUUGUUUGUUCUUUUUGAUUUUGUUUGUGGUCUUAUGACCUUAAAACGCCUAAUAACAACAAAAACCCUAAAAAAACAUUUGGUGGACUGUUGGAACUGGAUCUAAGCUUUGGACUUAGAAUUAGGCAACUUUCCUUGUGCUAAAGGACUUGGCCAAUGCCAAGAUUUUUAGACUGAACUAUCUUUGACCAUUGCCUUCAUUUGAUUGCAAUACUUGAGGAUUUCUUGGAUUCAUCUACUACUCUGUCUUUGUGCUUAAUUGUUAUUUUGAUCUUAUGUCUGAUGUUUUGUUCUGAGUUGAUCAAAGAAUAUUUUAUCUAAUACAUUGGAAGACAAAGAAAAUUGCUAGCUAUUGGAGUGCUUGCUUGGAUGUGGCUAUCUUUAUUUGAUGCCUUGAUCAUCAUGAUGUCUGGAUAUUUCUUGUUGCCUUUUGCUUGAUUAAAGUCCAAAGGAAAAUGAGUUUCUAUAUGACAUUCUUGUCUAUUGGAUUGCAUCCCAUUGGUCAGAUCUUUUCAACUCUAAACUUUUAAAUUCGUGCUUAGGAUAGCCUCUUCAUCUCCUCCCACUUCUUUAAUUUCAAAAUCUCUCUCUCUCUCUUUUCAAAAACCUUAUUUGCUUGUGAUUUCAAACAUAGGCAUGUUUUAAUGAUUAGAAACUUUGGCCUUAUGCCAUUGAAUUUUCAAACUCUUUCUUAAAUCAAACUUGUGAAUGAACUUAACCAUAUUGACUUUAAUUUUGAAAAGACAAAACGAACUAACGACCUAAUUUAAAUGUUUGGCCUUUUUGUGUCCUCUUCUAAAAACUUUUGUUAAAAUCAAUUCACCCAUUUAUUUGAAACAUUCACCACGAACUACGGGGUUUUGAUCCCUCAUUUUUAUGUUGGUACGUAGGCAUAACACCGAAGGUCUUGUCAAAUAGAAAAAUAUAAUAAAUAAAUUCUUUUCUCAUCCCCACACUCUAUUUUAUCAAACAUAUUUUAUACCAAAAACAUAUGCACACAUAAAAAAGGCAUCCCUAGGAGUACUUAGGACACUUUGGGUGCUAACACCUUCCCUCUGUGUAACCAACCCCCUUACCUGUAAUCUCUGACAUUCUAUUAGUUUUAAUUUGAAAACUUCUUAUCUUUGGGUUUUUUUUCAUACUUUUCCCUUUUCCUUUGGAAACAAUAAAAGCGUGGUGGCGACUCUGGUUUUAUUGACGUUAAGCUUAUCCAUAGCUUGUUGGUCAUGAAUUUACCGCUACAAAAAUUAAGUGGUGACUCUGCUAGAGAGUAGUCCUCAGUGAGUUUAGACCAAUUUUUUAUGUGUAUAUAUUUGUAUAUUUGAUGUUUGUAUAUUUGUUUGUGUGAUAUAAUCUGUCUGUUUUGCUUGGUGAUCUCUGAGUGGUGAGAUAAGUUCUAACCCGAACUUGAAUGCAUUUAAGAUAGGAGGAUGGUAUAGUCAUCUUCAACUUGUGUGGAGUAGUCCUUAACAUGUUGGCUUGAGACCCAUCUACUCAGUGGAGAACUCUUUGGAGUUACUAAUGUCACAAAAGCUAUUUGUGGAUAGGAACUACUUUCUUUAAAUCUGGGGUUCAAGAAGCUGAAGACCGUAGAACAUUUAACCUAACAUGGACUAUUUAGGACGUAGUGCGGAGACUGUUCAAGUGUAGACUUGAUAACAGUUGUUACGCGAUACUACACUCAAACGAGUUUCUCUUGAGAAUAUUUUGGGUUGAUGAGUCAGUCAUCCUAACCUAUAAUAUCCUAUAGAUGGGAUUGAGACUCUGGGCACUUUUAUAGAACAUGUUUUACAUGUUUCAUCCUUAGUACACUCCUUUGGGAUGGUUCUUAACUUGACUCCAUACUCGUGACUCGCAACAAACCCUUUGAUUCUUCGUCGAUCUAAUCAAUUCUCAUAAAUAUCAAUGGAACUUGGGUGUUAAUAAGGUGAAAACCAUAAUCCACGAGGAUGGAUGACUGAUCUUGAUGAUGACUUGAUCCAUCCCUUGACCUUUGUUUGUGUUUGCCUUGUGUGUGAUCCCUUGUUUGUGAUUGUUGCAUUCAUGCAUACAUACGCAUCAUAACAUUCAUCACAAAAAUAAAAUUUCAAGGAAACUAAGGUCUUAUUUGCAAAUACUUUCAGACUAUGGGUUAUGGACGAAGAAACACUAAGAAGUACAGUUUCAGAUGUCCUAAUUUGAAAGAGCUAAGGAAGUUGUCAUCCUUUGUACUAGAUCCGUUUGAAGGAGAUGAGCGAUCCAAAAUGCAGUGGAAUUUAAAAUUUUCUCCUUUAGUGAUCCUUACGAAUGGGCAUGAUCAGUGAUAGAAUCAUUACCUCUUGUGGCGAUUUUAACCUUUGAUGCAGAUCUACGGAGCGAUCACGAACGUUGAAUGAUAACAACGCCUCUACUCAGUCCACACGAACGAAUUCCUUCAAUCUCAGUGCUAGCUACUACGAAUGAAGGCUUUGAGUGAGUGAGAGAGAGUAGAGAAAUUCCAUCUUCAUAAAUGCUUCUGCACAAGGGUUCUAUUUAUAGAACCACUUGUGUGGGCUGCAAGCUAAAAAUCCCACUUAAGUGUACGUGGCCCAUAUCUUAUAAUAUGCCAAAAUCACUUAAGCACGUGGUACCUUACCAUAUUUCAUAUUCUACUUAAGUACACCGUACCUUACGAUGUUCUAUAAUUCACUUAAGUGCACCGUACCUUACGGUGUUCCUUAGUUACUCUAUCUCUCAUCAAGUGGUACCUUACCAUAUUUCAUAUUCUACUUAAGUACACCGUACCUUACGAUGUUCUAUAAUUCACUUAAGUGCACCGUACCUUACGGUGUUCCUUAGUUACUCUAUCUCUCAUCAAUCCGUCCUUUUGUGUGUGACCCUAUAGGUUUUUGCGGCAUUGACAAUUAUAUUAAAUCACGUAUUUAACAUAAUAAAUAGUGAGUGGUAUCUAGCAACACAUCACUGCUACCCAAAACACGAAAAUGUCAUGUGAUCUGACAAAUCCUUUUGUGUAUAAUUACCCUUUUGCCCUUAUGUCUAUAUUGAACACAAGGCAUAAACCGUGUCAUCCUUGUCUAGUUCAAUAUUGGGCCCAUAGACAUUUACCCUGUUACGCAGGAUGGCCAAAUUCCAUCUAGGUCACUCAUGUCCCUUAGCAUGCUUCGUGGAGUACCCAUCGACUGUCUUUAUGGUCAUCCAGUUACGGACAAUGUUUGAUCAGCAAUAAGGCACUCGACUCUACAUCUAGGGUCCAUAGUGGUUUCAGGUCGAAGGUGGUAUACACCAUUAUCACCAUGAGAAUAACUUAUGACACUUUGCAUAACAUUCUAUAUAUAUUCUCAUAGUGGUCAAUCCAGUAUAAAUAUUACUCUUAAUAUUCAUAUCUAUGUUUAAGACUUGAUAACUCCUUAUCCAUAUCCAUGAGAUGUAUCAUCAGUCUACUAUACAUAAUAGUCUUAAUGCUUUAAUGUUAUCCCACUUCACAAUAAAGCUCGACUACAGAUACUUUAAGAAUAGUGUCCUUAUGUUUAAUGUGAUCUCAUGAUUAAGUCACACUUGAUACAUUAAACAAACUAGCUACUCUAGGGAUUUUAUUAAACAAACAUAAUAAAGAAAAAUCCUUUUAUUAUUAAUAAAUAAUUCGAUACAAGUACCAAAAGUAUUGGCCUCUAGGGCUUACAACAACAAUCUCCCACUAGCACUAGAGCCAAUCAGGCAUACCCCUAAUGCUCAUAGAUCUAGUAUGGCCAUCAUGCUUUUGCUGCGCAAGAGGAUUUGUCAGUGGGUCAGCAAUAUUAUCAAGUGUAGGUACUAUGCAUAUUUGCACAUCUCCUCUAUCUAUUAUCUCUCGGAUGAGGUGAUAACGCCUAAGUAUGUGAUUGGAUCGUUGGUCAGAUCUAGGCUCCUUAGCUUGUGCUCUAGCACCAUUGUUAUCACAAUAGAGACCAAUGGGAUCCAUAAUGCUAGGAACUAUGCCAAGUUCACUAAUGAACUUUUUGAUCCAAACAACUUCCUUUGCUACACUUGAGGCAGCAAUAUACUAGGCCUCGGUUGUAGAAUCAGCAAUGUAUGUUGCUUUGAACUUUUCCAGCUCACAGCGCCACCGUUUAAGCAAAAUGCAUAACCAGAUUGCGAUCUAAAGUCAUCCUUAUCUGUCUGGAAGCUAGCAUCGGUGUAUCCAAUUAUAGAAAGCUCUUCCUGAUCUUCAUAUAUCAAGAAUGAGUCCUUAUUCCUUCUCAAAUACUUGAGGAUAUUCUUGACAGCUACCCAAUGAGCAUCACCAGGAUCAUAUUGGUACCUACUCGUUGCACUUAAAGCAUACGAGAAAUCUGGUCGAGUACAUAACAUGGAACACAUGAUAAAUCCUAUUGUAGAUGCAUAUGGAAUCUUAUUCAUGCGAUCCCUUUCUUCCUUAGCUGAAGGGGAUUGCGUUUUUGAUAAACACAUGCCAUGUUGCAUAGGUAUGAAUCCUUUCUUGGAAUCAUGCAUAUUAAAGCGUCUCAGCACUUUGUCUAUGUAUGUACUCUGACUUAGGCCAAGCAGUUCUUGUGAUCUAUCUCUAUAGAUUCUGAUUCUUAAUAUAUAGGCUGCUUCACCUAGGUCCUUCAUAGAAAAGCAUUUCCCCAACUAAGACUUUACUUGUUGCAGGGUAGGGACAUCAUUUCCAAUGAGUAAUAUGUCAUCUACAUAUAAUACCAAGAAAACAAUCAUGCUCCCACUAACCUUCUUGUAGACACAAGGCUCAUCUUCGUUCUUGAUGAAUCCUUAUUGUUUUACUAUUUCAUCAAAACAAAGAUUCCAGCUUCUGGAAGCUUGCUUCAAUCCAUAGAUUGAUCUUUGUAACUUACAUAUCUUUUGGGCUUCUUCUGGCAUGUCAAAUCCUUCAGGCUGUGUCAUGUACACAUCCUCAAGAAGAUUCCCAUUAAGGAAAGUAGUUUUGACAUCCAUCUGCCAUAUUUCAUAAUCAUGAUAUGCAACGAUAACAAGUAAAAUCCGAACAGAUUUAAGCAUUGCAACUGGUGAAAAGGUUUCAUCAUAGUCAACCCCAUGAAUUUGUUUAACAUCUGCCAUAUUUCAUAAUCAUGAUAUGCAACGAUAACAAGUAAAAUCCGAACAGAUUUAAGCAUUGCAACUGGUGAAAAGGUUUCAUCAUAGUCAACCCCAUGAAUUUGUUUAUAUCCUUUUGCAUCCAAUCUUGCCUUAUAGGUAUGUGCCUUGCCAUCCAUGUCAGUUUUCUUUUUGAAGACCCACUUGCAUCCUAUAGGGUUAACUUCUACAAGAGGCUCUACCAAGGUCCAAACAUGGUUUGUGUACAUGGAAUCCAUUUCAGAUUUCAUGGCUUCUAGCCACUACUCGGGACCAGUUAUGGCCUCUUGGUAGGUCACAGGCUCAUCUUGAUCCAUGAGUAAUACAUCACCUUAAUCAGUUAUGAGAUAUCCAUAUCUCUCAAGUAGGUGACGUAUCCUACUUUACCUACGCUGGUCUUGUUCUACUUUAGCAGGUUGCUCUUGUCGCAUUACGCGAAAAACCGGCGGGAAAACAAGAACAACAGAGCCGCCACCGUGCGUUAUUUAUCCCAAAAGAGGGAAAGGAAACGCUCAGAGUAAACCUGGAAAAGACAUGGUCUCGCGACCAAAGAGAAUGGGAUCGGGAGUCGNGGAGCAUGUGUCACAAAAAGUCAACAUAAGACCAAACAGGGGAGAAAAAUCUCAAACAAAUAGGAAAUGCCACAAACAAUCCCAAGAAAAAUCACAUGUAAACUAGACAUACUCAAGUACAUUCAUGCAAAAACUCAAUCCAAUUUGAGGUCAAGAGGCAUGGUAAAGAAAAUCAUGAAGUUGCACAUCAAUGGUGUGACACAAAUUGUCACACCCUACUUCAGAAAAUCAUAACUCAAUGACCAGAGAUGAAAAAUUCAUAAACUCUAUACCAAAAUCACCAUGAGUGUGUCUAGUUUAAUCACAAAAAAUUUCAAAGCCAAUGGACGAAUCAUCAUCAUUUCACAAUUGAUUUGGCAAAAGGUACAAAAAAUGGUCACAUGUCACAAACCCUAGCAUCAUAUAAAAUCUACUCAUGCAAAAAUUCUGGAAAAUACAUGAUAAAAAACUAGAGAUCAAGAUGGAUAAGAUGCAAAAAAUCCCAUUAAUUUUGGAUUAAACAUAGAUGAGAUAUGAUUUUUGCAAGUUAGUACAUCCAAAUGAAAUAAAUAUUGAGAAAAUAAUUGAAACAAACAUGAUUAUUUAAAUAAUUGGACACGGAGUGGCAAUCUGGUAAAUAUUGUGAAAACUUAGAAAUAAAUAUUGAGAAAAUAAUUGAAACAAACAUGAUUAUUUAAAUAAUUGGACACGGAGUGGCAAUCUGGUAAAUAUUGUGAAAACUUAAUGAAACGGUGCGCAUGGCUUUGGGACGUGGCAACAAGCGACUGGCUCAUGGCAAUGGAAUAGUGUCUGGCCAUGCAAAACAAAAGCUACACGAAUAGGACAAGAAAUCUGGGUUUAACAUGAAGUUUAGGGUUCAGCUACAGUGACCAUCAUCAUCCUCAUCAAAUCGUGCAAAAUAUUUUGGCCCAGAAAAUGAAAUUAAGCAUACCAUUAUGACCAGCAAACCAAGCACAACAAGAAUACAUCAUUCAUUUUCACUCAAACAUGUUAACAAGGAAGCAACGAGCAAAAAUAUAUUUGGAUAUGAAACUUCAAAACCAGAUUUCUCAGCCAUCACUCCAUCAAUUUGCACGAUUCAAAGCUUAAUGAAACCAGCAUUACAGGAUCAAUCUAAAGCAUGCAAUAAUUUAGUGAAAUAAGGAGGUCGAAUUCUUACCAAGUUGGAAGAGCAGUUGUGAUGCAGUGAUGAUUUAGCCUCAAAUGCUCGAAACAGAUGAAGCUCCAAGCUCCAGAUGAUGAAUGAACAAGGUGGAAGUUGUUUUUGGUCAGGGAUUGGGAUCGUUCAGAAGUCAUCAGUCAAUGCACAUUGUUUACCAGAACACGCCUAAAAAAGUCCAGCCAUGGUCAACUGGGCCUGAUUUUAUGGUUUUGAUGGUGGGAAUUGGUGUUAAGGAGGUCUCGAUUCAUGUCCAUCAUAGACCUCAUAUAACAUGUUCAAACAUCAUCAUGGAAGAAUUUGAAGGCCAGACAAGUAAAUUUGCCAAUAAAUCAGAUAAGUUGACCUGUAAUUGGGAUAUUUGCCAAAAAUGGAAAGUCUUGGAAUCGCUCGAAACUUACAUGCAUGGAUACAAGCUUCAAAUGAUUUUUGCCCAACAUGAAAGUUGAAAGAUCUUCGUUCUUCCCAUUGUCAGCAACAAAGUCCAAGAACACUCAUUCCCAUGUAUGGUUGGCAGAGGUUUAUGAUCAAAUCAUUUUGCAAGAAAUUUUGGGUGAACUCAAAAGGCCCAUACUGUCAAAUNNNNNNNNNNNNNNNNNNNNNNNNNNNNNNNNNNNNNNNNNNNNNNNNNNNNNNNNNNNNNNNNNNNNNNNNNNNNNNNNNNNNNNNNNNNNNNNNNNNNNNNNNNNNNNNNNNNNNNNNNNNNNNNNNNNNNNNNNNNNNNNNNNNNNNNNNNNNNNNNNNNNNNNNNNNNNNNNNNNNNNNNNNNNNNNNNNNNNNNNNNNNNNNNNNNNNNNNNNNNNNNNNNNNNNNNNNNNNNNNNNNNNNNNNNNNNNNNNNNNNNNNNNNNNNNNNNNNNNNNNNNNNNNNNNNNNNNNNNNNNNNNNNNNNNNNNNNNNNNNNNNNNNNNNNNNNNNNNNNNNNNNNNNNNNNNNNNNNNNNNNNNNNNNNNNNNNNNNNNNNNNNNNNNNNNNNNNNNNNNNNNNNNNNNNNNNNNNNNNNNNNNNNNNNNNNNNNNNNNNNNNNNNNNNNNNNNNNNNNNNNNNNNNNNNNNNNNNNNNNNNNNNNNNNNNNNNNNNNNNNNNNNNNNNNNNNNNNNNNNNNNNNNNNNNNNNNNNNNNNNNNNNNNNNNNNNNNNNNNNNNNNNNNNNNNNNNNNNNNNNNNNNNNNNNNNNNNNNNNNNNNNNNNNNNNNNNNNNNNNNNNNNNNNNNNNNNNNNNNNNNNNNNNNNNNNNNNNNNNNNNNNNNNNNNNNNNNNNNNNNNNNNNNNNNNNNNNNNNNNNNNNNNNNNNNNNNNNNNNNNNNNNNNNNNNNNNNNNNNNNNNNNNNNNNNNNNNNNNNNNNNNNNNNNNNNNNNNNNNNNNNNNNNNNNNNNNNNNNNNNNNNNNNNNNNNNNNNNNNNNNNNNNAUCAAAAGGCAUUUUUGGAAUGUGCAUGCGAAUAAUUUCAAGUGUGGUAUCAAAAAAUGUGAAUCUUUUGAAUUUAGAACACUUGCCAACAUAUGCCUACCAGUUAAAAAGGCGGCUGAAAUGAUAUUUUAAACAUGUUGAGCCCAAUUCGCCAGCCUCGCACUGCAUGCACCUUCACCACUUAAGCUGAACUUGACAAAUUAGCAAAAACAUGUCAUUUUUCCAUAAUUUCGAGAUUACCACCUGCGUUAAUCAUGCGUUAAACACAUUAAAUCAGCAGUAAUAGAGAUCGUUUCACUUCUGAAUCAAACCCUAUGCAGCCACAUGUUCUAAGCAGAAAAAUUGCCAUUUCUGCUCAAUUCACCAUUUCCUUUUCAUUGUGAAUUUUUCGGCCAAAAACUGCAAAACCUGAGCUGGCUUUGUUUGCUUUAUUCUAUACCAGUCAUCUUUGAGCCAUUUCAAGCUUGUUUCCCAGUGUACAUAUCUAAGCCAUUUCUACAUUCAAGCACUCAUCAGGGCAGAGUUUGAUUGAGCAAAACCAUAGCAUUCCUGGAGCCACAUUACCUUGACAACACUUCCAAAGGACCCCUAGGUCAUGUGAACAUGUUGGACCAACCCUAGGGCCUUGGCUCAAUGGAGAUUGUACUUGCUUGAUUGAUUGACUGAUCUCCUGAUCAGUUUGACCUAAUUCUUCUGAAUGGCUUGCACUUGAGGCAAAGGGACAAUGCAAUGCUAUGCAGUGGACCAUGUUAAUGUUAUGACCUAAUAUGAGAAUGUAUGUACAAUGAUAGGUGCAAAUUUGAGGUGCUACAGUUCUUCCACAACUACUUGUGUUUCCUGCUCUAAUACCUCCAUAGGUGUAUCAAUGCUUUGUGAUUCUUGAAUUUCUUCAAGCUCUACUUUUCUCCCACUGAUUCCUAUGGAAAUAAAAUCCUUUUCUAGGAGAACUCCAGUUCGAGCGACAAACACUUUUCCCUCAGAAGGAUUGUAGAAGUAAUACCCUCUUGUUUCUUUAGGAUACCCCACAAAUAAGAAUUUGUCAGAUUUGCGCUCAAGCUUAGUUGAAAUUUGCCAUUUCACUAAAACUUCGCAACCCCAAAUCUUCAUGUAAGACAUGUGUUGUUUCUUACCACUCCAUAUCUCAUAUGGUGUAUUUUUAACCUUUUUGUAUGGAACACGGUUAAGUGUGUAAGCUACUGUCAAUAGUGCAUGUCCCCAAAAGGAGUUUGGAAGAUUGGCGUGACUCAUCAUGGAUCGGACCAUGUCUAACAGGGUUCGAUUUCUUCUCUCAGAUACACCAUUCCAUUGGGGUGUUUUAGGAGGAGUAAGGUGGGAUAGGAUCCCACACUCUUUCAGAUGGUCAUCAAACGCUAGGCUUAAAUACUCACCACCUCGAUCUAAUAGAAGAGUUUUAAUAUUCUUACCUAGUUGGUUUUGUACUUCAUUCUUGAAUUCCUUGAACUUUUCAAACGACUCUGAUUUGUACACAUAACCAUAUCUACUGAAAUCAUCAGUAAAUGUGAUGAAGUACUAAAAACCUUCUCUGGUUGGUAUGUUCAGUGGUCCACAUACAUCAGUAUGUAUGAGGGCCAAAAGAUCAUAAGCUCUUUCACCUUUUCUUGUGAACUGAGACUUUGUCAUCUUUCCAAUUAAACAAGAUCUGCAUGUCUCAUAUGAUUCAUAAUCAAAAGAGUCCAAGAGUCCAUCUUUACGGAGUUCGAAAAUGCGUUUCUCAUUUAUGUGGCCCAAUCGAUAAUACCAAAGGUAAGUUGGAUUUAACUCAUUAGGUUUCAUUCUUUUAGUAUUAAUGUUAUGAAUAGGCAUUUCAAGAUCAAGGACAUAUAAUCCAUUGUUCAUUUGUGCAGUAACAUAGAAUAUAUCAUUCAAAUAAAUUGAGCAACAAUCGUUCUUUAUUAUAAAUGAAAAAUCAAACUUAUCCAAACAAGAAAUGAAAAUAAUAUUCCUGCUAAUUGCAGGUACAUAAUAACAAUUCUCUAACUGAGUUAUUAAACCACUAGGUAAAGUCAAUACAUAAGUUCCUACGGCUAAAGCAGCAACCUUUGCUCCAUUGCCAACUCGUAGGUCAACUUCACCUUUUUCCAAAUCUCUACUCCUUUUUAGCCCCUGCACAUUGGUACAAAUGUGAGAACAAUAAGUUCCUACGGCUAAAGCAGCAACCUUUGCUCCAUUGCCAACUCGUAGGUCAACUUCACCUUUUUCCAAAUCUCUACUCCUUUUUAGCCCCUGCACAUUGGUACAAAUGUGAGAACCGCAUCCAAUAUCUAAUAUCCAUAAUGCAGAAGUAGAUAAAUUAAUUUCAAUAUAAAAAAUACUUGAAGUUGAAGUCUCUACUCCAUUCUUCUUAUCUUCCAGGUACUUUGGGCAGUUUCUCUUCGAGUGUCCGGUCUUACCGCAAUGGAAGCAGGUGCCUUCCUUUACUAUGCCUCCACUAGGCUUUAAAGCAGCAACAAUGGGUUUGGGUUUGGCAACUGCCUUGCCUUUCCCUUUAUCACCCUGCUUGGUGGGUCUUUUGUUCUGUCUCUUUCCAUUUCCGAUCAUCAGAAUGGACUUCCCUUUUGACUCCAGAUUCUACUCAGCAGUUCUUAACAUGGCUAGCUGUUCAGGAAGAGAUUUGUACAUAUCAUUCAUAUUGAAAUUUUGGACAAAUUGACUGAAUCUAUCUGGCAACGAUUGCAUGAUCAAAUCAGUCACAAGUUCCUUUUCGAGGGGAAAACCCAACCUCUCAAGGUUUUCCACAUAUCCAAUCAUCUUGAGCACAUGGGGACCUACAGGGGCUCCCUCAACUUACUUGCCUUGAAAACGGGCUUUUGAAACUUCAAACCUUUCAUGCCUUGCUUGCUCUUGAUAGAGCAUCUUCAGGUGUUCGAUCAUAUCGAACGCUUCCAUGUUCUCAUGUUGCUUUUGCAACUCUGAGUUCAUGGUAGCUAGCAUGAGACAAGAAGUUUCAUUGGCAUCAUCGACAUGCUUCUUAUAAGCAUCUCUUUCUGCCUUAGGUGCAGAACUAGGAGGUUCCUCUUCAGGAACAGGUGUCUCCAAGACAUACAACUUUUUAUCAUGUUUGAGGAUAAUCCUCAGGUUUCGGUGCCAAUCCAGAAAAUUUGUCCCAGACAAUUUUUCCUUGUCAAGGAUUGAUCGCAAGAUGUUGUUAGAGGUGUUUGCUGUCAUGGUUAUCUACAUAAGGAUUAAGAAAAUAUAAGUAUCAUUGACAUAUUUAAUUAGGCCUUUAUUCAAAUAUGCUCCCACUAUUUUACUCAAAACAAAUGACCCUCAUCAUUUGAUUCGGAAAAUCCCGUUGGAAGAUUUUCUAGUGGGUUGAGAUCCAUAUUUCACUUCGUUCUAAGUCCGCGUAGGCGGAUUACACAAAACUAGGUUAUUUAGGUAGGAACUCCUUCCAGUUGUAUCUCAUACAACUCUCGAAAAUUUCAGUUGGGUGAAUAACUCCUUAUUCCAAUCCAUCAUAUGGAUCAUUCCCAACUCUUGCUUCUAAAACAUAUAUAAGAAAAUUAUAAUUAAGUUUGACCCAUUGUUUUAGCAGUUGGAUAUUACAAUUAUCCCAUCGCACCUUACUAAUAUAGAACAUGCACCUCGCGUAGGCGAAACCUACAUUAUUCGAUACUAGUCUUGAUGAGUGCUAAAACUUGGAAAGCAUAAACUUAAUAUUUAAUUUGAGGGAAUUUGCAAUUAUUCUGAUCUCACCGGCUUAUUUAUCAUAUAAAUCGUCUCUCACAUGCAUCAACAUACAUUCACAUGCAUCAACAUACAUAAUGAAAUAGUUAUGGCCCCUAGCGCAAUUGUUCUCCCAAGCCAAUGAGAGAACCUAAGCUAACCUAAUAACGAUCUAAGCUUCUCUAAGCAAGAUAUUCAAGGUUGUCCUCCUUUUAUAUUGAAUUCUUCUCUUUCUUCAUAACAUUACAUUACAUAAAAGAAACUCAUUUUACAUACGAGGGAGUGAGAUAAGAAAAGAAGUUACAUUGAGAGAUUAAAAGAGAGGCACGACAUGCAGGUCGUAAAUUAAAAUCCCAAAACGAAAUAAAGGAAAACUAAGGCCACAACCGAUCACCACAAGACAAUAAUAAUAAACACAUUAUUAUUAUUAAUUUAAAUUUUUUUAAUUAAUUAAGACUAAAUUAAAUUUCGGCGAAUGAUCAUACUAUGCAGAGUUAGCAAAAUAUUCUUUUAAUUAAAGUAUUGAUUUCAAAAAUGAUCAUAAUAAAAUUUAAAACUAUUUGGCUGAAUUAAAUAAGAGUAGAAACAAUUGGAUAAAAGCUCAAUUUUAUUUAAUAGAAUGGUAGUCUGUAAAUGACAAGACUCCAUAGAUCUUUUACAAAAGUUGAAAAUGAUAAUUUACAUGGAAAAGGGCUACAUUGAAUACAAUGAUCACUAAUCCUUCUACCAACUCUUGAUGUCCACUGUGCUCUUGGCCGCUACCGGGGACUAGAAUCCAACAUUGUGCUCAAGAAAGUCUUCAAAACCGAAGAUCAGCAAAAUGCAGUUACUUGUCAUAAUCCCUAAUAUUUACAUAAAUUGCCCCAAGGUGGGGUAUUCAAUUUAUCGGGAUAAUUCAUUCUGUUUUAUGUCUCUAACUUUUUCCUGGAUCACCCUUUUGAGUUUUCAAUCCACCAAGAUGCUCAUUUUUGCCUAAGCCGCCCUUUCGGUUUUUCAACAUAGCGAGUUGUUCUUUUCUUUUUUUUAGGCGAAGUAUUUCUUGACUGCAUCUGCGUUCACAAGACGAGUGAACUCUUCACCAUCCAUAUGAAAAGGCUCUCUUAACAACAUAUGUGCCUUCAUAAUUAGGAGUCCAUUUUCCCCUAGAAUAUGGUUUGAAUGAUAGGAUCUUCAUGAGCACAAGGUCACCCUCUCUAAACACACGAGGCCUGACCUUCUUAUCAAAAGCUUUCUUCAUUUUCUACUGGUAUAACUGACCAUGAUACAUGGCAGUCAACCUCUUCUCUUCAAUAAAAUUGAGCUGGUCAUACCUGGUCUGACACCAUUCAGCCUCGGUCAACUUUGCUUCCAUCAGCACACGCAAUAAUGGGAUCUCAACCUCUACGAGGAGCACAACAUCCAUACCAUAUACAAGAGAGAAAGGGGUUUCCCCUGUUGAAGUGCGGAUGGAUGUACGAUACCCGUGUAAAGCAAAUGGGAGCAUGUUAUGCCAAUCCUUAUAUGUCACAACCAUCUUCUGAAUGAUCUUCUUAAUGUUCUUGUUUGCAGCUUCAAUCGCCCCAUUCAUCUUAGGUCUGUAGGGAGCAGAAUUAUGGUGUGCAAUCUUGAAGUCUUUGCAAAGAGCUUCCACCAUAUUAUUAUUCAAGUUCGAUCCAUUAUCAGUUAUAAUCUUACUUGGCACACCAUAACGACAUAUGAUUUGAUUCUUGAUAAACCUCACAACAACUUGCUUGGUUACAUUUGCAUACGAUGCCGCUUCAACAAAUUUUGUGAAGUAGUCGAUAGCCACCAAAAUGAAACGAUGUUCAUUCAAAUCUUUAGCCUCAAUCAUGCCAAUCAUAUAAAUUCCCCACAUGGAGAAGGGACACUGGGAGGAAAUGACAUUCAACAGUGUUGGAGGAACAUGAAUCUUAUCUGCAUAUAUUUGACACUUGUGGCAUUUCUUCACAAACUUGCAACAAUCAGAUUCCAUUGUCAGCCAAUAGUAACCUGCUCGCAACAUCUUCUUCUCCAUUGCAUGUCCAUUGGAAUGAGUACCAAAGGAACCUUCAUGGACUUCAGCCAUCAAUAGGUCUGCUUCGUGUCUAUCCACGCAUCUGAGGAGAACCAUAUCGAAGUUUCUCUUGUAAAGCACAUCACCAUUCAGGUAGAAAUUGUCGGCUAAUCUUCUCAAAGUCUUCUUGUCUUUCAAAGAUGCCCCAGAUGGGUAAAUCUGACUUUGGAGGAAACACUUGAUAUCAAAAUACCAUGGCUUUUCAUCUUUGACUUCUUCAACAGCAAACAGAUGAGCUGGCCUAUCAAGACGCAUCACAAUCAAAUUGGGAACUUCAUUCCAAUAUUUCACUAUGAUUAUUGAAGCCAGCAUUGCAAGAGCAUCUGCCAUCCGGUUUUCAUCUCGAGGGAUAUGAUGAAACUCAACCUUUGUAAAGAAAGUUGAAAUCCUCCUCGCAUAGUCUAUGUAUGGUAUCAAACCGGGUUGAUUUGUCUCCCAUUCGACUUUGAUUUGAUUCACGAUCAAAGCUGAAUCUCCAUAGACGUCUAGAUAUUUGAUUCUGAGAUCAAUGGCCUCUUCAAGCCCCAUAAUGCAAGCUUCAUACUCUGACAUAUUGUUUGUACACUUGAAAGUCAAACUAGCUGUAAACGAAAAAUGCGUGCCUUGAAGAGUAAUAAUCACUGCCCCAAUGCGAUUACCAUACUGAUUAACAGCUCCAUCAAAUACCAUGCCCCAAUUGGAACCAGGUUCUGGCCCUUCUUCCAGCAAUGGUUCGUCACAAUCUUUCAUUUUCAAGUACAAGAUCUCUUCAUCAGGAAAAUAAUACUAUACUGACUGGUAAUCUUCAAUCGGUUCGUGAGCCAGGUGGUCAGCCACGACACUACCUUUAAUUGCUUUCUGAGAUCGGUAUUCAAUAUCAUACUCUGAUAACAACAUCUGCCAACGAGCAAUCUUCCCAUUUAAAGAAGGCUUCUCAAAAAAAUACUUGAUUGGAUCCAUUUUGGAUAUCAACCAAGUGGUAUGAUUCAACAUAUAUUGACGUAAACGCUUAGCAGCCCAAGCUAAUGCACAACAAGCCUUCUCAAGCAUAGAAUGUUAAGUCUCAUGAUCGGUGAACUUCUUACCGAGGUAGUAAAUGUCAUAUUCUUUCUUUCUAGUCUCAUCUUGCUGCCCUAGAACAUAACUCAUACUCUCAUCAUGCACAAUCAAAUACAUUAUCAAUGGUCUUCCUUCCACAAGAGGAGACAAAAUCGGAGGCUCAAGCAGAUAUUCCUUGAUAUUAUCAAAAGCUUUCUGGAAGUCUUCGGUCCAAUCACAAGACUGAUCUUUCCGAAGAAUCUUGAAUAUAGGCGCACAUAUGGCAGUCAUGUGUGAAAUGAAUCUUCAAAUAUAAUUCAAGCGGCUGAGAAAACCUAUGACUUGUUUCUCAGUUUUGGGCGUAGACAUCUCUUGUAUUGCUUUGACCUUGGUAGGAUCAACCUCAAUACCUUUCUCACUGACAAUAAAUCCCAACAACUUACUAGAACGGACAUCAAAUGUACACUUAUUGGAAUCCAAUCGGAGUUUAUACUUCCUCAACCGUUGUAAUAGCUUCAACAAAUGUUCGACAUGUUCCUCUUCAUCAAUAGAUUUAGCAAUCAUGUCAUCAACAUAGACUUCGAUCUCUUUAUGCAUCAUAUCUUGAAAAAGAGUAGUCAUUUCUCUUUGGUAAGUUGCACCAGUAUUCUUUAAACCAAAAAGCAUCACUCUAUAACAGAAUGUUCCCCAAGGUGUAAUGAAUGUGGUCUUCUCGAUAUCUUCAGGUGCCAUCUUGAUCUGAUUAUAUCUAGAAAAUUCAUCCAUAAAUGAAAAUACUUUGAAUUUAGUUGUAUUUUCUACCAACAUAUCAAUGUGUGGUAGAGGGAAACCAACUUUCGGACUGGCUUUAUUCAAAUCUCUAUAGUCAACGCACAUACAGACUUUUCCAUCUUUCUUUGGAACAGGCACAAUAUUGGCCACCCACUGCGGAUAUUCAGCAAUCACAAGGAAACCGACAUCAAUCUGUUUCUGCACUUCUUCUUUGAUCUUCACUACUAUAUCAGGAUGAGUCCUCCUUAGCUUCUGCUUGACUGGCGGGCAUUCUGGCUUCAACGACAAUCUAUGCUCCACGAUCUCAUAAUCCAACCCUGGCAUGUCUUGAUAGGACCAAGCAAACACAUCUGAAUACUUUUGGAGAAGAUCAAUCAAACCCUUCUUAACCUCUGGAUACAGUCAAGACCCAACUUUGACAUCCUUCACAUCAUCCUCGGAACCCAAGUUGACUAACUCAAUCUGCUCUUCGAAUGGCUGAAUGGCUUUUCCUUCAUUCUCAAGAAGAUGACACAAUUCAUCACUUACUUCUUCAUCACUUUCCUCCUUAGCCUCAAACACAUGGAAUUCAAAAUUUGGAGAAGGAGAAGUAUCAUUGUAUUCAAUGGGGUUAGGAACAAACCUGCAUAAUGAUUUGAUAUUUUGCUUUUAGAGAAGUGAAUUUGUGACCAAAUAUUAUGUAGAUGGGCAAUUAUUUUAUUUAUUUAUGUUUUUUUUGUGAUUACCAUUUUCAAAAUAAAGCAAAAAGUAAAAAUAAAACAUCGUAGACGUGGAUGAAUAAAAUUAUAUUUUAUUGAUGAUCAAAUUUGAAAUGCCUAAACAAUGUUCACUUCUCCCUUAGGCAUAGGAGAAGGAUUUUCAAAAAAAAAAAGAAAUUACUUAGAUCGAUGCACAAUAACAGGAAUAUCAACAGCAGUCCAAUUGUCGCAAUCUUUUCCAUGCGUCACAAAAUUGGUGUAGUCUUCAUCCUCAUCACCCUCGAUCAUAGCAGCUAAGUGUUGUUCAUUACCAUGAAUGAACCCUCCAUUAUGGAAAUUGUGUUGCGCAUCUUUAGUUUCAACCAUUGAAGAACCUCGUUAUAAACCCAAACCGGCUCUGCUCUUGUUAUCGGAGACAUCUACCAUCUGUCCUCACUGAUCAGACUGACCAUCUUCAACAAUUUUAUGUGCAUCUUUAAACGAGGACAUAGGUUCCCUAACUCUUUUUCCCUCAGCAAUAAAUAAGGCUUGGAACGGAGUUCUAACCUCAUCCUCAGCUUCUACACAAGAGAAAGAUGACAGGUGGCUGACCAGCAACGCCUUCUCCCCGCCAACAAUAACUAGCUUCCCAUUCUUAACAAACUUCAGCUUCUGAUGCAACGUUGAAGUAACGGCUCCUGCCUCAUGAAUCCACGGCCUUCCCAAUAAGCAGAUAUAGGCCGGGUGGAUAUCCAUUACUUGGAAAGUAAUUUGGAAGUCACUCGGACCUAUCUUCACUUGAAGGUCCACUUCGCCAAUCACAGUCUUGCGAGAACCGUCAAAAGCUUUGACGAUCACACCAUUAUAUCUCAUAGGAGCUCCUUGGUAUGACAACUUCGACAAAGUUGACUUCGGAAGCACAUUUAAUGAAGACAUAGUGUCUACCAGCAUAUUUGACAGAGCGUCAUCUUUACAAUUCAUCGAAAUAUGUAGAGCCAAGUUAUGAUUUCUACCCUCAUCGGGGAGUUCUUCAUCACAAAAGUUGAGGUUGUUGCUGGAAGUGAUGUUAGCUACAAUAUGAUCGAACUGAUCCACCGUAACAUCAUGUUCCAUAUACGCUUGCUCUAGAACUUUCUACAGUGCUUCUCUAUGCGCUUCUGAGUUCAUAAUCAGAGACAACACUGAAAUCUUUGAGGGAGUUUGGAGCAGCUGCUCCAACACAUUGAACUUUCUCCUCUUGAUCAAUCUGAGCACCUCAUCAUCGUCGUUAGGCUUUAAACCACUGGAUCCAUCAGACUGUCACUUUGGAGUACUAACAGAAUUUACCACUGGUGCAUCAACUUUCUUGCCAACAUAUAAAUCUUCCACAUUCUUUGGGAACACCGGCCCAAAAACCCGACCGCUGCGGGUCACCUUAAUAACAUCAGUAAUGCUCACCUCAGAACUGGUCGUAGGCAAAGGAACCUCUUGACCAUUCUCUAGCAUGGUAGCAUAGUACUGAUACGGGACAACUUUAUCAAAUGCAUACGAGACGGGGCCCGCUAACCGUAUAACCAACAACGAUACUGAUCUGUUGUUGACACUGCUACUGCUGUCGUAGUGGAUUACUACUCUUUCAUGAGUUUAUAAAACGGGAACAAUAACAUUCACAUCGUCAUCUACAUGACAGGAUUGUAUAAUCUGAAUCAAACCUUCAUCCAUCAACCUUUGGAUGUCUCUCUUCACAACCAUACAACCUCUGGGAUUGACACUGUAGAUAGCACAACCGUCAUGGUCAUGCUCACGAUCGCUAACCAAACAGAUAUCUUUGUGCAUCGUCACCAAGGGCCUUCUAAUAAAGUGUACAUCAAAUACCUUAAACUCCCCAGGACAGACGUCCACCAUAUUAACAGAUGAAUUCCCAUGGGCAUGUAGUGGGUUAGCUUUGUUGUUUGGCGCACGAUCCUCACAAGACACUGUAAUACUCCAAUUUUAACCCUAAGAUCCCUCAUUCUAUCUCAUCAUAUGCAUUAGCAUUGGGAUCACACCUUGGCAUCCUCCUUACCCCUCUUUCAUUGGGUUUGUUUUGGGAGAGAUCACCAAGCACCAUGUGAUUGUAUCAUACUUGUAUAUUAUCAUUUUACUAACCAAUUGGGAUCACACCUUGGCAUCCUCCUUACCCCUCUUUCAUUGGGUUUGUUUUGGGAGAGAUCACCAAGCACCAUGUGAUUGUAUCAUACUUGUAUAUUAUCAUUUUACUAACCAAAAUACCAAAAACAUGUCUUUGUAUUUUCCUAACUCUUUUGUAGGUAGGGCAUGAUCAUCAUUGAUCCACCAAGUUCACAUCUAGGGUUUAAGACCCUCAUGGCUAAAAACACAACCAAAGAUUGAUCCACAAUGUCUCAAAGCAUCAUAUAUGAGUCCCAAUGAUGUUUACAUGUUAUAUUGAUCAAGUAUUCUUCAAGAGUUUGGAGGUGAUUUGCCUUGGAAACUCUAGUUUGACUGGGUAUCUUGAGUAACUUCUCCAAUAAGCUAUCUCACCAUUUGAUUAAUUUUCCCAAGGGACAGUUCAAAUUUCAUCACCUUAUGCAUAUAUGAUCUACCAUGAGCCUAUAAAGUCAAGAGAAUUGAAGGUUAGAAAGUUGGUUGAUGGUGGUUGGCCAGAUGAUUGCCUUUCCAUUCAAAUGCCAAAAACUCCACAUAUCAUUGCCUUGCCAUUCAAGCAUCAUUUGAACUUCAAUACAAAUGUAAUUGAAUCAAAUUGGAUUGCUUCAUGGGCCUGUACACGCCCAUGCAAGCUUGUGCAUCACCUUGCCAAUUUUAGCAAUUUUUCAAGUGUGCAAAUAACACUCUCAAAUGCUAUAAAUACAAUGCCUUGGAGCUCAUUUUAAACACACCUUGCGCGCAAACGUUUCCCCCCAAUUCAAACCCUCACCAUUCAAAGAAAAACCUAAGAAUUUUCAACUUGAAAAUUGAGUUUGAAUUUCACUGUUUGGAGAUUCAAAAACUCCAGGAUCCAAAGCUUUGUACCAUUCCCAAACCACUUCUGCAAGCUUCUUGAGUGUGAUCAGAUCAAGUUUGAAGGAAGCCAGAUCCAUUUCUGCACAACAUUGAAGGUAAUUUUCAGAAAACUUCUUCUCUUCGAUUCUCACACAAUUCUCAUCAAUUCUCUUGGAUCUUUGGUUGUCUAAAGUCCUACCAAUGUAGGCAAGAAGGUUGAGUUGCUUUGAGGUCAAAUCGAAGAAACUCAGUUAACACACCUCAAAAUUCAACUCGUCAUAUCUUCCUAUAUAUUUGGAGUUAGUUGAAAUUGAGGUCAGAUUCGUGCUCUACGCCAUAUUUUUCUUUCAGAUGAUGUCCUCUUUUCUCAUUUAGAUGAUGAUUGAGAGUAGACUAGUCUGGUGAGGGCCACCGGAGAAGAAGACCGGAGCUCUGGCUCCGGCGAUGCAUUGACAUGUCUCCAGACCACAGGAUCCUCUUAAUUUUUUUUAAUCUUAGGCGUUUGUUGUGAUUACCAUGCGUGUGACGCGCUGACUAAGUCCCACCAUGGAACACGCGUUUCUAUCCACUUGAUCUGCCACCUCAAUUAAUGAGGGAGAUCAAGUGGUCCACGUUUUUUUUGAUUUUUUGAUUUUCAUUUUAUUUCAUUUGAUUUUCAUUAAUUCAUAUUAAUUUUAAUAUUGAUGCAAAAAAUAUGAGAGUUUCACCAAAAAAAUUUAAAUAAAUUGCUCUUUCAUAUUUUGAAUUAAAAUUAUUUUUUUGGAUCAUUAUUAAUAUUUUUCAUUAUUUAAUUGAUUUUAUGAAUAUUUUAAAUUGUUUAAAAAUAUUUUAAAGUCUAUAAAAAUUCUAAAAAAUUUCUCCAAGGUCCUUUGACCUUGUUUGACCUAUGAUAAAUGUCAUGGCCAUUUCUUUGGUGUUUUGAUGAGGUUUUAGGAAUUUGACAAACCAUAUUUAAUUUAAUGCAUUAUUUUUAGUAUUUCUUUUAUUUGAAUAAAUGCCAAAUAUUUGUGUUGAGCAAUUUUGAUGGUUUGUAUAAGUUUGACUUGUGUUGCUGGGCCUUUUGUCAAGGUUGAUUUGACUUUGCUAGGUUAAGAUCAUUGGAUUUAGGGGAUUGAUGGAAUGUACAUUCCAUCUCACAAAAUGAAUGAAUGAUCUUAAUUUGGUAAAACUCCUCCUUUGACCAAUUUGAGUUUUGAUCCAUUCCCCUCUCUCUUCAUAUAUUUCCCCUUCUCUAUGCAUUCAUUUCAUUUGGUCUAUGAUAUCUCUAAAUCAUAAGGCUAGUUGAUUGCAAAAUCAACAUAAGUAUGGAUGAGAUUAGGCCACCUCUUUUGCAUAUUAUUUUUGUGUGUGGUACGUUUCAUGAGCAUAAUCCAUUAUACUAUGUCUCUAACAUGCAUUAACACCAAAAUUCUAUUGCCCGACCUCAAAUAGUUGUGACUUCUACAUAAGUCCAAUUACGAUUGCUUAACAUAGCGCUAAAUAAAAAUUCUAUUGCCCGACCUCAAAUAGUUGUGACUUCUACAUAAGUCCAAUUACGAUUGCUUAACAUAGCGCUAAAUUUUUGAUACAAAAGGCAUAGCAUUCUAGUUAGUGAGAUUGUAAGUCUCCCUUCUUUCAUGGUAUUGUAUGGAAACUUGACCUUUUUUCCUUCCUUUGGAAGAUGUCUUGUUUCAAGGAUCUAUGCUUGUGAUAAGUGGGUUGAGUGUUCUCCAAAGAGUGACUUAAAAUGAAAAGCAAAAACAAUACUAACUUCUAACUCAUUAACAACUAACAUUUAAUUUAAAGUCAUUUACUUUAAUGCAAUUUAAUUUCAAGUCUUUAUUCAUUUGCCAUUAUUCAUACCAUUCUAAUUGUUUAUGUUAAUGUCAUUUUCACUUUGUCCAUUUGGACCAUAUUGUGUGAUAUAUCUUGCUUGUGUAUAUUGUAUUUGUUUGUGUGGUCUUUGACCAUUAAUGUACAUAAUAAGAACAAAAACCCUAAAAACUUUUGUGUGGACUGUUGGCUUGAUCUUGGACAAUUGGACUUAGAAUCUAGGUAACUUCCCUAUUCAAAAGGACUUGGACAAUGCCAACUUUCAUGAAACCAAGUGCUUGCAAUUUGAAACUUCAUCUGAUACAUCAUUUAAGAUCCCUUUGAGUUCAUCUGCAAUAUGAUCUUUGUGAAGUUGUUAUUUUGAACCCGUGACUUGUGGAAUUCAUUUGCUACAUGGGAAAAUUUGAAGAAGAUCAUGGAGUUGUUAAGCUUUUGUAAGACCCUAAUUUUGAACCUAAGAUCCCUCAUGGCAUGAUAUCAUUUGCUCAAUGCAUUGCCUCAAGGAUCAUAGCAUGUGUGGCUCUUUUACCCUAGGGCUGGAUUUUUGUGAGUGGUUUGAGACCACCAAGCAUGCUUGUAUUGUAUAUUAUUGCUUUUCUUAUUUUAAUUAAUAACCAAAAUCACAAAAAUAUGUCACUAACUCUUUUUGUUUUGAAGCUCAAGUGAUCAUGUGCUCCCAUGCUCCUAAGCUCAAUGAAGUGGCUAGACGAAGAUGAAAAAAAGCAUGACAAUGGUCCACAAAGCUCCUAAUCAUCAUAUGUGUCUCCCAAGUAUCUUAAUUUUCCAAUUUUAUCAAGAUAACCCAAAAGGAUUGAGGAUUGUUUCCCAAGGAAACCCUAAUUCAACUAUACAUUGACUGUGCCUUGCUCUUGAAGCAACCUCAACCUAUGAUCAAAUUUAAUCAAGGGAAGUUCUUUAAUUCAUUAUUUUAUGCAUAUAUGAUAUUAUGUGAGGUUCCUCAAUCAUUCAUUCAUCAAGAUUUGAAGUUUGGCCUUGAGAAGUUGACCAGUCAAGUCAUCUGACUAAACUAAGGUUCAUUGAGAUACAAAUUUUGAUGUGUUUGUCAAAUGAAGAUUACCCCAAGAGAAAAUAUGUUAUUAAGAACCAUAUGAACAACGUUCAUGUUCAUCAAAAAUCCAUUUGAAACUUGGAAGGUCAUCAUUCAUUUCAAAACAUUAUAGGUCAUUUUGACUAAAACCCUAAUUUUGGGUCAACUUCCCAAGGAUCUAACUUCCUCAAUUUUUAUGAUUUUUAUAUGAGAAAAAAUGCAUUGGAAAUUUUAAGAUAUCUCUUUCAAAUGUUAUGUUGGACAAAAUUUCAUAAUCCUAAAAUAAACACAUGUGAUAAUACAAAACAUUAUAGGUCACUUUGGACCUAAGUCAUUGAAUUUGAAAUAAUGUCCAAUUUCAAGCGCCCAUAACUUUAUCAUCAAAACUCCAAAUGAUGAAAAAUUUAAGUCUACAUUGAUCACGUUUAAAAGAUCUACAACUUUGAUGUUGGAGGCGUUUCCAUUUGAGGCUUGCAUCAUUGAAAUAGAAGGGAUUGAAAGUGGUUGCUUUUGUUGAAAAUUUUCAAAGGGAACCUAGACAUGUUUUGUACCCAAAACUUCACAGCCAAUUUUCAUAAAUUUCCAAAGUCCAAAUGAAUUUUUUCCCAACAUGACUUUUGUUCCUUAUUCCAAGAGCUUUCCAACCAUUACUCGUAUGACCAUUUUUGGAUUUUUCAUGUUGGAGUUUCUAAGGGCUUAAUGUUUAUGCUCAUUUUUGCAAUUCACAUCAUAACUUGGAAUGCAAGUUUGUGCAGCCUCUUGUGCACGUCCAAUUCAACUACAUUUGAUCUCAUCAUGCAUUUCCAUUCAUUCUUGGGCUUUGCAAGCGCUUGUACAGGCCCAUGCAUGAAGGAUCCAAGUUUCAUGCACACGAGCUAAACACCACCUUGCAUCCAUUCCAGCUAUAAAUAGAUGCUCAUGCUCAUUCAAAAAUAAAACCUGAGGGAGAUCUGAAACGCUGCUGGAUUGAAAACCAAACCCCCACCUAAAGGAAUUUCAGUUUUCAUUUUCAAUUUCAAGCUUGAAUUUCAACAUCAUUAGUUGAUCUUCAAGUCUUAAUUCCUUAACCUUGCAUCAUCAUCACACUUCUAGAUCAAAUUUGGAUCAAGAGCUUGGACAAUUCGUGCUCUUUGAAGCUCCAUUUCAGAGGUAUAUAACUAAACUUUUUUGAUUUAGAUCUUGAAAUAUAAUGUGAAUCUCUUUGGUUUGUGGUGUUUUCUGAAGUCCUUAAGCAUGAGGCAGGCCAGUGGUGGUCUCAAUUUUGCAAAUCAUGCCAUUUCAGAUCAAGCACCAUGAUCUUCAAGCUCAGGUUUCUCUUCCAAUAGGAACUUUGAGAGUGAUCCAUGGUUACAGGGGUGAUGUACACCACCCCAGCUUCAUUUUGAUACCUUGCUUUUUCAUUUUCAUUGAAGUUGAAAUCCCUACGCGUGGUGGCCGGAAUCAGUUGUCUGGCCGGAGAAGAUGGUGAUUUCCACCACCAUCCCCACGUGGGAGCUUCAGGUCCAUUGGAUCUUGAGGAAAUGUUAUAAUCUUGGCCUUUCAUUUGUUUGACUUCUUUUAAUUCAAUGAACUGCGCGCUUGACUUGAGCACAUGGUGUGACCGCGCCUUUGAACCCUUAGAUCAUGGCCACGUCAUUUAAUGAAAUGAUCCAAGCGCGCUGGUUUUUUCUCUUUUUCUUAUUUCUGUUUUAAUUUCAUUUAAUUAACUUUAUUUUCAAAAAUUCAUAAAUAUUUUAUUUGAAGUCACAAAAAUAUGAGACCAAUGCCAAAAAAUUUCUUGAAAAAUCUAGUUUCAUAUUUUGAUGUUUAAUUAUUUUUGUGACUUCAUUUAAUAUUUUUUGUGAAUUAUUUGGUUUUUAAUAGUUCUAAUUCAUUUUAAAAUACUUUUUGAUAUUUGAAAAAUCCAAAAAUAUUUUCUUAACACAUAUGGAUCAUGAUAAGUCAAUAAAAAAUAGUCUCAUCAAUUUCUUAAUUGAUUUGAGAUUUGUUUGAGAUUUUAUUCAUGUUAUGUUAUUUUUUUUGUUUUUUAAUUGAUUUUAAAUAGUUUCUGAUUUCAAAAAUUGUUGGAAAAAUUUGUCAAAGUUUGUUUGACCAUGUUAGAUCUAUGAGAAUUUAAUUGGACUUGUUGAAGUUGAUUUGAAUUGAAUUUGAGGUUUGACCAUAUUUUGUUCAUUUUAUUUUUGUAUUUAUUUUAAUUCCAAAAAUACCAAAAAAAUAUGUUUGAUUUGUUGACUUGUAACCUUCAUUUCUCUUCUGUUUAGCAUUGGUUGACGAUGAUUUGAUUCACUUUUGACCAAUUGCUUUUGACACUUGAAUUCUCUUUUCAUUCAUUUCAUCUUCAUCUCAUUUCUUUUUAUUUUGGCCAAUGAGUUAAUGUCUUAGGGUUGGUCUUGACAUAUGAGAGGCUUAACCUUCUUUGAUCCAAAUCAAACUCAACUUGAUCCAAGAUCAAGUAAGUUGCUUUGUGUCAAAGAUAGGUUGCUUCUUGGUCAAGCAAAAAACCUAAAGUCCAUACAAGGCCUUUCUCUUUUCUUUUGGCAUGGCAAGUUUUUGGAGCUUGGCUUACUAGUCAUGAUCUCUAACUUGUGUUUAUUUUCCUAUAGUUUUAUUGACCGGCCUUAUAUAGGUGUGACUACUAUGUUAGUCCACUUACGAUUCCUUAACAUAGCGCUAAAUUGUCUUAUGAGAAAUUAACAUAACUCCACUAAUUACUAACUUUAAUUUGAGCAUUUAAUUUCUUGUAAUUUACUUUAAUGAACUCUAUUUCUUGCUCAUUUACUCAUAUUUCCCUUUUCCCUUUGCUAACUUGAGCACAUAUUUUAUGUUUAUGUCAUUUUCCUUUUGCCCAUCUGAGCUCAUUAUUGUAUAUAAAUAUAUUGUUGUCUUGUGUUGGUUUUGCUUUUGCUUUGUGUGAACCCAAUGCAAAAAGGAGAAAGGACUUAGAAUAGGACUUACCUAUGCUUAAAGGAGUUCAGGAGCAACUAGGCAUCAUGCCUUUAGAAUGCUAAAUUUGUUGAAGAGCAACUAGGCCUCAUGCCUUUAGAAUGCUAAAUUUCAAAGUUGACUUCAAAGGACUUCCUUUCCAAAACUCUUUCUUUGUCCAUUCCCCUUAUUGUGUUGUGAACUUUUUGAUGUUUGUUCUUGUGUGAUAGGGAUUCCAUCUUGAGAUAGUAAGAAGGACCAUUAUCAUGAGUAGCCAAGUUAAGAGAGACAAGCCAAAUGGAGAUCCUAGGAGCUUGAAUCUAAUUUGUUUGAUUUCUUGAUUGUGUGCUAAGUACAAAGAAAAUGAGCAUCUUGAAUCAUCUUAUGAUUUCAAGAAAAGGAACUUCAAGGGUUUUAUCUCUUCUCUUAUCUUUGUAUUCCUGUAAGAUUAGCCCUUCUCCUCUUCUCUCCACUCUAACCCAAGCUAAACUCAUUUUGUGCAAAAUUUAACUUUGUUUCAAAUUAGAAACCUAGGCCUUACGCCUUUGACUUUUCAAAGUCUUUUCAUUAAUACUCAUAAUGAAUAAAUCUUAAUCCAACCUUGACCUAAUUUUAUAAAUAAACAUAACUUGUAAAUAUAACUCACUUCAAGUUGAUUUUGUGGUUCCAAUGACCACCUUGGUUAAAACCUUUUUCAUAAACAUUAGUCAUAAGUUUGAGUUAUCAUAGUGGUUGAUGUAAACCUCACCUUAUCCUUAGUGUUUGGAUUAUAAGUCUUCCAUACUUAUUAUAGGGUUAACCCCUCACUAGUAUGUUGAAGCUCUUCUCACAUGGUGGAUUGUUGGUUUAGGUUGAGUUUUCUCCCUUUGAUAACAAAAGACCUUAAGGCUUUUGAUCAAAUCAAUUCACCAAUCUUUGAGAUUUUUACCCCGAACUACGAGGUUUUGAUCACAAAAGACCUUAAGGCUUUUGAUCAAAUCAAUUCACCAAUCUUUGAGAUUUUUACCCCGAACUACGAGGUUUUGAUCCUCCUUUGUGAUGGUACGUAGGAAAUGGGUUCAUCCAUUCAAACAACAAAUUUGUAAAUAUAAUCUAUUCUCUUCUCAUCCCCCAAAUCUUUUGCACAUAAUUUCACGAAUACCAACCUAUAACACAUAUUUGCAAAAAGAGGUUCCCUUAGAGUACUAAGGAUGUUUUAGGUGCGCAAAACCUUCCCAUUUCAUAACCAACCCCCUUACCUAGAUCUCUGACAUUUUUAUUAGUUUUUGAUUUGUUAAAACUUCUUACUUUGGCUUUUGUUCGCUUUUUAGCCUUUCCUUUGGACAAAUAAAAGUGCGAUGGCGACUCAAAUUGUAUGUUUACUUUUGGUUUAGUCAAUAAACCUAAAGGUAACGAAAUCCCCGCUAUAGAAAAGUGGCGAUUGUGCUGGGGAGAUAAUAGCAUUUUCCUAGUGGGUUUAGCCUACUUUUUGCUUGUAUGGGUUGUAUGUUUGUAUUUAUUUUGUGACAUAUUUUUGUGCAAAUUUGGGAUGACUGUAUUGUUUGUAAUGUAUGAAUUGCUUGAUAUAUUAAUUGCUUGUGUGCUUGGUGGUCUCUUGUGUGAUGAGUUCUAUACCCGAACUCGAGUGCACUUAUGAUAGGAGAAUGAUAGGAGAAUAGCAUAGUCUUGUUGACUUGUGUGGAGUUAUUCCUUAGCAAGUUGACUUGCAAGUCCAUUCACUUGGUGGAGGUCUUGUUGGGAUCAAUAAUGUCACACGAGUAGUCGUGCUUAGGCAUUACUCUUUCCAAUAUAAACCUUAGAAGCCAAGGACCUUAGAUACCUAGCCCAUCUUGGCCUGUUUUAGGAUGUAGUGCGAAGGUCGUUCAAGUGUAAGAUUUGAUACGACUGUUACGCGAUACUACACUCAUAAGAGUCUCUCUUGAGAUUAUUGUUGGAAUACGAGUAGUCGUAUUAUCCGAUAAUAUCCAAAAGAUGAGAUGAUGACUAUGGGGACCUUUUUAGAACAUGAUUGUCAGAUUUAACCAUAGUACACUCCCUUUGGGUGGUUCUUAACCGAGACUCCAUGCUCGUGACUUACAACAAACCCUUGAUUCUCGGUUGAUCCGUUCUCGUACAUUCUUAAUUUCAAUGGAACUUGGGUGUUGAUAAGGUGUAAACCAUAAUCCACCAAAAUGGAUGAUUGUUAUUGAUGACGACGUGAGCCAUCCCGUGACCUUUAUGUGGUGUGACUUGCUUGAUCCUUGAGUGUGAUUGUUGCAUCCAUGCAUCCAUGCAUUCAUAUGCAUCCAUAUCAUCAACAAUGAAAAUUUAAAGGAACUUAAGAGGUCUAUUUGCAAAUUUUCAGACAUGGAUAAGCAAAGAAGAAAUACGAAGAAGUACAGUUUUAGACAACCCGACUUGAAAGAGUUAAGGAGUUUGGCAUCUUAUGUAUUAGAGCCUUUGGAUUUCAAAGCUCACCAUGGGAAGCUCCUAUCUAUUCUUUCUACCCAGGUGGAUGAAGGUCUGAUGAGUGUGUUGGUGCAGUUCUAUGAUCCUCUGUAUCGAUGCUUCACUUUUUCGGAUUUCCAGCUUUUGCCUACACUUGAGGAUUAUGCUUAUCAUGUGGGUAUACCCAUUCUUGAUCAGUUGCCAUUCAGUGGUUUGGAGAAGAUUCCGUCUUCUCAAGAGAUUACUGAUAUGCUUCAUGUGGAUGUAUCUGACAUUGUUGCUCAUAUGACUACCAAAGGUGGAAUUCAAGGCCUCCCAUCUGAUUUUUUCAUUGCCCAAGCUACUUUGUUUAGGAAGGCCAUGAGUGAGGACGCCUUUGAAGCCAUAUUUGUACUUCUCAUUUAUGGGCUAGUGUUAUUUCCCAACAUCGACAGUUUUGUGGAUGUGAACGCUAUUAGGAUUUUUUCUACUCUUAAUCUCGUUCCGACUCUGUUGGGUGACACUUAUUUCUCUUUGCAGAUGAGGAAUACAAAAGGUAGUGGAUCCAUUGUGUGAUGUUUUCCUCUGUUGUACAAGUGGUUUAUUUCUCACUUGCCUCAGACGCUCGCCUUCAAGGAGAAUAAGGGAUGUCUACGGUGGUCUACGAGACUCAUGUCUCUCAAUAAUGAUGAUAUCUCUUGGUACAACCGUGUUUAUGAUGGCGUUCAAAUUAUUGACUCUUGUGGUGAAUUCUCCAAUGUGCCUCUUCUUGGUACAUGUGGUGGAAUUAACUACAACCCUGUUUUGGCUCGCUGUCAGCUUGGGUUCCCCUUAAAGGAUAAACCUAACAAUGUUGUGUUGGAAGGUGUAUUCUUUUAAGAGGGUAAAGAUCCCCAGAAUUUGAAGGGCAGGAUGGUUCGCGCCUGGCGCAAUGUUCAUAGGAAGGGAAGGAAGGAGCUUGGCCUGAAGAAUUGCAUUGCUUUGGAACCCUACACCGCUUGGGUGAGGAAGAGAGCUCUUGAGUACCGCAUGCCAUAGGAUUAUCCGAGACCUACCUCUAUGGUUAUGGUUGGGCCUUCAACCCUCCCUAACCAAGGAGUAGAGGAGUUGAGAGAUGAAGAUUGUUCGCGUGCUUGGGUUCGUGAGCGAGAGGAACUUCUUUAGCAGCUCAAAGAUAGAGAUGCAGUGAUAGAGUUUCUAGAGCAUCAGGUUAUUGAUGAGUCUGAUGAUGUGGUUACUUCUCUUCUUCCUCAGUCAUCCAGGUUUUGGAAGAGGAAGUAUGAUCGGCUCGCCAAGGAGAACGCUGAUAUGGAAGCAACUUAUGAGAGAGAGGUGAAGAGGCUUCGUGCAGCUUAUCUUUCAAUCUCGAGAGCUUUGGCUCCAUAGGAUGUUUAUUCUCCUUUUCCCUUGUAUUGUAUUUGGUUACCAAGAUUGUACUACUUCUUUGGUGUAAAUUUUUUUCCGAAUAUUAUUACUAUGAGUAUUCCAUAUAUGUCUUAAAAGAUUAAUAUUUUCAAAUAGAUCUCUAUAAAGUUCCUAUAAUAAAAACAAAUCAUAUGCACAAACAUUGCAUGCAUCAUAUGCAUAAGCAGGUUUUGUUCCAAGCUCAGUGGUCUAACUCUUUGCUCUUCAUUUAUUUUGAAGACAAGCUGACGCACCGUUAUAAUUCAUGAGCUAAUCUUCCAAGGAUAAUGGAGCAUUUAGAGAAAGAGAACCGGGAAUUGAAAGAAGAGAUCGCUAGGCUGACUGCCAUGAUGGAGUCAGUUCUGGCCGCUCAGAGCCAAGCUUCACCAACUCCUGCAACUCCUCCCGCGAGGACUGUCAUUUCUGAGGUUGCUACCUCGACUGUGCUUGCCGCAACAACCAACUUCACCCCGACCAUGCCAGUUGGGUUCCCCUGGGGAAUGCCUGCUAAUUUUGUGCUCGAGGGUUUUGCUCCUACUCUCUCUUCUCUGCCGGCACCUAGCCCGAUCCUUUCUGUGCCACCUCCCAUCAUGCACACCUUACCCCGAGUUGAAGACACCAAAUAUCACUCCGAGCCGUCUGAGGGCCCGGAUGUUUAUGAAAAGAUGGACGAGAUGAAAGACCAAUUACUUGAGCUGCGCAAGGAACUGAAGACUCUGAGGGGUAAGGACCUCUUUGAUAAAAGUGCUGUUGAGUUGUGCCUUGUGCCCAAUGUGAAGAUCCUUGUUAAAUUCAAAGUUCCUGAUUUGAGAAAUAUAAGGGAAACACAUGCCCGCUCAGCCAUCUUGUGAUGUAUGCUCGCAAGAUGUCAACGCAAACUGAUAAUGACCAGUUGCUUAUCCAUUACUUCCAGGAUAGUCUAUCAGGUGCUGCGCUCUGGUGGUACAUGGGGCUGGAGGGUGCGAACAUCCGUUCUUUUAAUGAUCUUGGCGAGGCCUUCGUCAAGCAAUAUAAAUAUAAUGUGGAUAUGGCUCCGGACAGGCACCAGUUAAGGGCGAUGUCACAGAAGGACAAGGAGACCUUCAAGGAGUAUGCCCAAAGAUGGUGCGAGUUGGCGGCUCAAAUAGUGCCACCCCUAGAAGAAAAAGAGAUGACAAAGAUCUUUUUGAAGACUUUGAGCUCUUUCUACUAUGAAAGGAUGAUUGCCAGUGCUCCCUCAAACUUCACCGAAAUGGUGAAUAUGGGGAUGAGAUUGGAGGAAGGGGUCCGUGAAGGACGUUUAUCCAAAGAAGACAGCUCUUCAGCAAAGAGGUAUGGGGGCUUUGCUAAGAAGAAGGAGGGAGAGGCACAUGUUGUGUCCUCCCAUAUUAAAAGAAGGCCCUCUGUAAGGAGGAAGGACGUGCGCCCUGCCGUCAACCAACACCAGGUGGCUCAUAUAGCACCUGCUUUUAGAGAAGUUCAUCAUCAUCAACAACAACAACAACAACAACAAUAUCUUCAAUAACAGCAGGCCUACCAGCCUCGAAACAAUAAUAAUACCAGCACCAGCAACUACGAGAGGAAGAGGGUAACUUUUGACCCGAUUCCGAUGACAUAUGCUGAACUCUAUCCUUCUUUGAUUGAUAGAAAACUGAUCACUCCACGAGACCCUCCCGCUGUACCAACCAACCCUCAGUGGUGGUAUAAGCCUGAACUAUAUUGUGUAUAUCAUUCCGGUGCUCCCGGACAUGACGUGGAGAACUGUUAUCCUCUGAAGACCAAGGUGCAAGACCUUGUGAGAAGUGGUAUAUUGUUUUUCGAGGAUGUAGGUCCUAAUGUAAAGAGGAACCCAUUGCCCGAGCAUGGGAAAGCAGCGGUUAACAUGGUCCAGGGAUGCCCUGGCAAGUAUAAAGUCCUGUAUGUUAAUGACAUAAGGCAAUCUUUGGUCGAGAUGCAUAAGUUGUUGUGUGAACACAGCUAUUACGAGCAUGACCAUGAUAGGUUCCAGGUGCGCACUAUCAACGAGAGAGGAUACCGACAAGUUAGAAAGGACAUCCAAGAGAUGAUUGAUCAGGGGAUGAUCGAAAUACUUCAGAAUCGUAAUGAGGACGAAGUUGAUGUAAUUACCCCAGUGUUUAAAAUUCCUGAGCCUGUUGUUGUCAAGUAUGAUGGAAGCAAGAAGAAGGUGUCACCAGCUCUUGUGAUCAAGCCAGCGGGUCAUGUCCCGUAUGUUUCGGACAAAGCUGUUCCCUACAGGUAUAACGAUGUGAUGCUGGAAGAUGGAAAGGAGGUGUCACUGCCCUCAACUUUCGUAGUGAGUAUUUCAGACAUUAGUGGUGUGACCCGUAGUGGUCGUGUUUUCUCGGCUCCGCCAAAAUCCCACGAAGAUAUUGUGAAGAAGUCUGUUGUUAAUCCUGCUGGUCCCGUGGGGACUUCUUCUUCAAAUAAUCCUGUUGUUGACCCUGUUGUUGUUAAGAGUAAUAACACUCCUAUCCUGGUUGACCAGUUUGGCAUUCUAAAAGAGGAUGGUGAUGAGAUGCUAAGGCUCAUUAAGAGGAGUGAAUAUAAUGUUGUUGAUCAGCUACUACAAACUCCAUCCAAGAUAUCUGUCUUAUCUUUGUUGAUGAAUUCAGAACCACACCGUAAAACUUUGCAGAGGGUGUUGGACGUGGCAUACGUGGACCACGAUGUCACGAUAGAGCAGUUUGAUAGUGUUGUUGCAAAUAUAACCGCUUGCAACAAUUUGAGCUUCUGUGAUGCUGAUCUUCCCAAGGAGGGAAAAGAUCACAAUUUGGCUUUACACAUUUCUAUGAAUUGUAAGGAUGAUGCCUUAUCCAAUGUGUUGGUGGACACAGGAUCAUCGCUCAAUAUGUUGCCAAAAUCCACUCUUGCUAAACUUUCUUACCAGGGGCCUCCCAUGAGGCAGAGUGGAGUGGUUGUGAAGGCGUUUGAUGGAUCGCGCAAAACCGUGAUCGGUGAAUUAGAAAUCCCGAUCAAGAUUGGACCUAGUGAUUUCCAGAUCACUUUCCAGGUCCUGGACAUUCAUCCGUCUUACAGUUGUUUGCUUGGUAGACCAUGGAUUCACGAGGCAGGCGCCGUGACAUCCAUCCUACACUAAAAGUUGAAGUUCGUGAAGAACAAAAAGUUGGUGGUGAUAGGGGGAGAGAAGGCUCUCUUGGUCAGUCAUUUAUCUUCCUUUUCCUAUAUUGAUGCUGAGGAUGAGGUUGGGACUCUGUUCCAGGCCUUAUCUAUUGCUGAGCCUUCAAGGAAAGGACUUUCUUCAUUGUCUCCUACAACGAUGCAAAGUUGGCCAUUGAGCAUGGCGCAACUACUGGUUUGGGGCAAAUGAUCAAAUUGGAAGAUAAUAAAUCCCGAGCUGGCAUAGGCUAUUCUUUCAGUGGUUCCAAUGAGUGUGGGCUGUUCCAGAGUGGUGGUUUCAUCCACAUUGUUGAAGAUCAGGAAGUUGCUGCUAUUGUGGAAGAUGAUGAAGAGGAAGACCUUGGCAACUUUGUCAUACCUGGAGGAAUCUGCAAUAAUUGGGUCGAUGUUGAUGUUCCAACAGUUAUCCAUAAGUCAACGUAUUGUGUUCAUUUUGUUUGAAAACCCUUCUCCCAUUCCAAAAGGAGAAGUGAAGACAUUGUUGACAUAUUUGAUUAAUACAAUGAUAUUCAUUCAAUAAUCACAUGUUAAAUGUUUGUUUUUUCCAAAUUAUUUUAUCUUUUUGCUUUUGCAUGAAAUUGGUGAUCACCAUAAAACCCUAAAAAGAGAAUAAAAUCAAUCUUUUCAUCUGCAUUAUGAUUUGCCUUGUUUGAAUUCUGAAAUCUCUUUUAUACUCAAAAUCAUUAUGCAGGUUAAUCAAACCCAUUGAACAUAAUGAUCCAACACCAUCUCCCAUCUUUGAGUUCCCUGUAUUUUAGGCCGAAGAAGAUGAUGUUGAAAAGAUUCCUGAUGAGAUUACCCGUCUUCUUGAGCACGAGGAGAAGAUCAUUCAGCCGCAUCUUGAGAAUCUGGAAACAGUCAUCUUGGAGUCUGAAGACUGCGUUUGUGAAGUGAAGAUUGGGGCACUCCUUGAAGAGUCUGUUAAGAAGGGGUUGAUUGAGUUGCUACGAGAAUAUGUCGACGUCUUUGCCUGGUCGUUUGAAGACAUGCCUGGUCGUUUGAAGACAUGCCUGGUCUAGAUAAUGAUAUCGUGCAACAUUUCUUGCCGUUAAAGCCUGAGUGUGUGUUUGUGAAGAAGAAGCUCAGAAGAACUCAUCCAGAUAUGGAAGUGAAGAUUAAAGAAGAAGUUCAAAAGCAAAUUGAUACGGGGUUUCUGGUGACUUCUACAUAUCCUCAAUGGGUGGCCAAUAUUGUGCCCGUGCCUAAGAAAGAUGGAAAAGUCCGAAUGUGCAUGGAUUAUCGAGACUUGAAUAAAGCUAGUCCGAAAGAUGAUUUUCCUCUACCACACAUUGAUAUGUUUGUAGACAAUACAACUAAAUUCAAUGUCUUCUCAUUUAUGGAUGGAUUUUCCGGUUAUAAUCAUAUUAAAAUGGUACCCAAGAAUAUGGAGAAGACAACAUUCAUCAUACCUUGGGGAACAUUCUGUUAUCGAGUGAUGCCCUUCGGUUUGAAGAACGUCGGAGCCAUGUAUCAACGAGCUAUGACUACCUUGUUUCAUGAUAUGAUGCACAAGGAGAUCGAGGUGUAUGUCGAUGAUAUGAUUGCAAAGUCGAAAAUGGAAGUUGAACAUGGAGAACACUUGUUGAAGCUUUUCCAGUGUUUGAGGAAGUACAAACUCUGCCUGAAUCCGAACAAGUGUACAUUUGGAGUCCGUUCCGGCAAGUUAUUGGGCUUUAUUGUCAGCGAAAGAGGUAUUGAAGUUGAUCCUGCCAAGGUCAAAGCAAUACAGGAGAUGCCUACGCCCAAAACUGAGAAGCAAGUCCGAGGUUUUCUUGGCCGCUUGAAUUACAUUUCGAGAUUUAUAUCCCACAUGACUGCCACAUGUGCGCCUAUAUUCAAGCUCCUCCGGAAAGAUCAGCGUCAUGACCGAGGUUUUCUUGGCCGCUUGAAUUACAUUUCGAGAUUUAUAUCCCACAUGACUGCCACAUGUGCGCCUAUAUUCAAGCUCCUCCGGAAAGAUCAGCGUCAUGAUUGGACCGAGGAUUGCCAAAAUGCCUUUGACAGUAUCAAAGAGUAUUUGUCUGAGCCUCCGAUUCUGUCUCCUCCUGUUGAAGGGAGACCAUUGAUUAUGUACUUGACCGUGCUUGAUGAUUCCAUGGGUUGUGUCCUUGGUCAGCAAGAUGAAUCAGGAAAGAAAGAAUAUGUGAUAUAUUACUUGAGUAAGAAGUUCACUGACCGUGAGUCUCGGUACUCAAUACUUGAGAAGAUAUGAUAUGCUUUGGCUUGGGCUGCUAAGCGCUUACACUAGUAUAUGUUGAAUCAUACGACUUGGUUGAUUUCUAAAAUGGAUCAAAUCAAGUAUAUCUUUGAGAAGCCUGCUUUAACUGGGAGAAUUGCCCGUUGGCAGAUGUUGUUAUCUGAGUAUGAUAUUGAGUAUCGAGCUCAAAAAGCUAUUAAAGGUAGUAUCUUGACUGAACAUUUGGCACAUCAACCAAUUGAAGAUUACCAGUCUGUGUAGUACGACUUCCCUGAUGAGGAGAUUUUGUAUUUGAAGAUGAAAGAUUGUGAUGAGCCUACGCUCGAUGAAGGGCCAGAGCCUGGUUCCCGAUGGGGCAUGGUGUUCAAUGGUGCUGUCAAUCAGUAUGAAAAUGGUAUUGGGGCAGUGAUUAUUACUCCUCAAGGAACACAUUUUCCUUUUACAGCAAUGCUAACUUUCAAAUGCACAAAUAAUAUGGAGGAAUAUGAGGCCUGUAUUUGGGUUUGGAAGAAUGUAUUGAUCUUAGGAUCAAACAUCUUGAUGUUUAUGGCGAUUCGGCCCUUGUUGUUAAUCAGAUUAAGGGUGAAGGGGAAACGAAUCAUCCUAGCCUCAUCCCAUAUAGAGAUUACGCGAGGAGGAUUUCAACUUUCUUUAUUGAGGUUGACUUCCAUCAUAUUCCUCGAGAUGAGAAUCAGAUGGCAGAUGCUCUUGCUACGCUUGCUUCAAUGAUUGUGGUGAAGUAUUGGAAUGAAGUCCCCAAUAUUACCGUGAUGCGCUUGGAUAGACCAGCUCAUGUGUUUGCAGUUGAAGAAGUGAAAUACGAUAAUCCAUGGUAUUAUGAUAUCAAGUGCUUCCUUCAAAGUCAGAUUUACCCGCCUGGGGCAUCUGUUAAAGAUAAGAAAACUUUGAGGAGAUUAUCUGGUAGUUUCUACCUUAAUGGAGAUGUGCUUUACAAGAGGAAUUUAUACAUGGUUCUGCUUAGAUGCGUGGAUAGACACGAAGCAUACCUGUUAAUGACUGAAGUCCAUGAGGGUUCAUUUGGUACUCAUUCCAAUGGACAUGCCAUGGCUAAGAAGAUGUUGAGAGAAGGCUACUAUUGGUUGAUAAUGGAGUCUAACUGCUGCAAAUAUGUGAAGAAAUGCCACAAGUGUCAGAUUUAUGCAGAUAAGAUUCAUAUUCCUCCGACACUUCUGAAUGUUAUUUCCUCACCAUGGCCUCUCCAUGUGGGGAAUUGACAUGAUUGGCAUGAUUGAACCAAAGGCGUCAAACGGUCACCAUUUUAUUCUCGUAGCUAUUGAUUACUUCACCAAGUGGGUUGAAGCAACAUCAUAUGCAAAUGUGACCAGGCAAGUGGUUGUGAUGUUUAUCGAGAACCAACUUAUAUGCGGAUAUGGUGUGCCAGACAAGAUCAUUACUGAUAAUGGAUCUAACUUGAACAAUAAGAUGAUGAAAGAGCUGUGUAGCGAGUUCAAGAUUGCAUAUCAUAAUUCUUCUCCCUAUAGACCCAAGAUGAAUGGGGCUGUUGAAGCUGCUAACAAGAAAAUCAAGAAGAUUAUUCAGAAGAUGGUUGUUACGUACAAAGAUUGGCAUGAGAUGCUGCCAUUUGCUUUGCAUGGCUACCGUACAUUUGUCCGCACUUCAAUAAGGGAAACCCCUUUCUCUCUUGUAUAUGGCAUGGAGGAUGUGCUCCUCGUGGAGGUUGAGAUCCCAUCAAUGAGAGUCUUGAUGGAAGCCAAGUUGACUGAGACUGAAUGGGUCCUGAGUCGUUAUGACCAGCUGAACUUGAUUGAAGAGAAGAGCCUUUGAUAAGAAGGUCAAGCCUCGUGUGUUCCGAGAAGGUGACCUCGUGCUCAAGAAAGUCUUGUCUUUCGCGCCCGAUUCCAGGGGCAAGUGGACUCCAAACUAUGAAGGUCCAUACGUUGUUACCUCGUGCUCAAGAAAGUCUUGUCUUUCGCGCCCGAUUCCAGGGGCAAGUGGACUCCAAACUAUGAAGGUCCAUACGUUGUUAAGAGAGCCUUUUCAGGCGGUGCUUUGUUGCUUACAACUAUGGAUAGGGAGGAUUUCACUCGUCUUGUGAAUUCAGAUGCAGUCAAGAAAUACUUCGCCUAAAAAUAAAAAUAGAAUAGCUCGCUAAGUUGAAAACCCGAAAGGGAGGUUUAGGAAAAAGUGAGCGUCUCGGUGGAUUGAAAACCCGAAAGGGCGAUCCAGGAAAAAGUCAGAGACAUGAAAAAAAUUGGAUAUAUAUCCCGCUAGAUUGAGUACCUCACCCUGGGGCAAUCUAGGCAAAAAUUAGGGAUUUGGCAAGUAAUUGCAUCCUGACAAGACUUUGUUCUACAACUGUCGUAUGUCAAAGAUUCUCGCUCAGUCAUCGUCAACUGAAGCUUCAAAUACAUUGGAUUCAGAGUUGGUGGAAAAAUGGUCAUUAUGUUUAAUGUAUCCCUUUUUCCAAAAUAUAUCACCAAUUUCAAAUUUGUAAAGAUCCAUGGAGCCUCGCCAUUUGUGGACUACCAUUCUAUUAAAUAAAUUUGAGUCUUUAUCCAAUUCUUUGCACUAUUAUUUGUUUCUGUUUAACAAAUGUUUGCAUAUUUUUAAUUGAUAAAUAUCAUUGUUUUAAAACAAAUAAAGUUUUUAUAAAACUGUUUUUAAACAAAGUGAACAUUCACAAUGACUGAAAAGAUAGUUGGAACGUCUUCAGCGCUCUCCCAAGGAUAGUACGAUCUCCAAAAGGUAAAACAUUUGUUCAUAUUUCUAACAUGUUUAUAUCCUCUUCAUCAGCUUUCAAGCUGUCCCCUCAGCGAGCACAGAAAGAAGAAAACAUUAUAAACUCCCCAAAGAGUCUGAUACUAGCAUUUAUGUUUUAUCAAUCAUAUGGUUGUCAUCCCUUGUGUGGACUAACCUAAAAUCCCUUAUAGAUUGAGAAAAGUUGAUAUUCUAUCUAUUCACGAGGAAGCUUGUCUUUCCCUGGUAUGAAUAAGAAGAUCUCCAUCGGAAUAAGCAUGUGUUCCCUGCAUAGUUGCCUUUCCAGAUAUAUUGUCUCCUCAGCAGAAGUUAUCUAGAGCAGUUGGUGAAGGGCUUAUUCCCCUUUUCAUCCCCAGCAUGGCACGUGUUGACGAAGGAUUCGUUUACGAUUCCCUCGGCCAAGGUAUCUCUUUUGAGAAUGUUGGCAGUUUAUCCCCAGUAGGGUUGUCGGCAGUUUAUCCCCAGUAUAGUCGCUUACAGUCCAUCCCCAAUGGGGUUGCCUGAUCCGAGCUUGAUAAUUUGUAUCCCCUCCAAGUCUGAAGAAUUCUUCCAGUAUUGGACGGUGAUGAGGAAGAUGUGUUAUUUCCUUCCCCAGCGGAGCAAUUGGUUCUUUCUCCCCUCAGCAGAGAUGUCUCUUCAGCAGUUAGAAGGGAGUGUUUUGAUUGAUGUGUAUCUGUUUGGCGGUUGUUCCCCAUAGAGUUUCACAUCAUUCCUCGAUAAGAUCCCCAAUAGAGUUCUCCUACGACAGAUUUUAUUGAUAUCCCGUCACCUGUUCCCGAGAAUUGUUGGAAAAUCCCCGACAGUUGGUAGAUGUGACUUUGCCUAUCCCCAACGGUGAUUGGUGUGGGCCUGGCCUUUCUCUUUUGAGAUGUUAUACCGGAUGCCCAUUUGUGGCUUACAAACCUGUUUGUGUUAGAUAUGUCUGUCUGUUAGCAUUAAUCAUACAUAAACCACACAUAUACAUGCAUAAUUAUAACAUUCAGAUAUUCAUGAUGCAUUCUUUGCCAUAUACCUUUGCUUGUUAUCUCCCACUAUUGGUGAAAUGUUCUUCCCUAAGCAGAUGUUUGUAUCUGAUCUCUCCAUAUAGAGUCAGCCCCAUAGGCAGAAAGUGUCUAACUUUCCUUCAUUAUUCCCCACUGAGUUAUGUCCCCGUGGAUGAUUAUUGUUUCAGUUUCCUCCCCAGUUGUGUAUUGGGAUGGAAUUACUCCCCUGAGUUAUAUCCUCAUUGGGUUGAGUCUUGUUAAUUGUGUCUUUCUAGUUUGUUCCUAGAUUGCCUCCCUUCUUGUUAUUCCCUUGCAGUUUCCCUGUGGUUUAGUUGUUCAAUUGCUCAGUAACCAGUAAUUGUUCAUCUUUUCCUCAGUCGAUUUAUGUGGCCUUCUACCCAGUAACCGGUGUUGUAAGUCCUAUUUCUGUGGUUUUCUACCCAGUAACCGGUAGAUGUAAUCCCCUCUUUGUUGGUUAUCCUUACCCAGUAACCGAUUUUGAUUUUCCUUCGUUUUUUAGUAUACCACCCAGUAACCGGUGAUAUAUCUCUUGGAUAAUUGCUCUUAUCAAGCAAUUCAUCCCCCGUCGAGUCAUCUUUCAUUUACCCUUGUCUGGUAAUGAUUGUUUCUCCUUUUGAUUGGUCAUCAUUUUAUACCCAGUACUGGUAUACCGAUGUCCUUUCUUUUUUCGGUUGAUUUAUCCUUUAUUAACCCAGUAACCGGUUGCGGAUAAUCUUCCAUGCGAGUAUGUUAUCUAUGUUAUGACGGUAAUAGAUAAUGUAUCUCAUGCGCUCUUCAUUCGAAGUCUUUUUCUUCCCUAGUUGAGUAAGAUUCGUUUUUCCUUAUGGGAUCGAAUGCCCAUCCUGUAAGUUGAGUUUGCUUGUUCAACCCUCCUUUCGGAUGAUGAGUGUAUUGGAUAUGUUCCCAAUUCACGCCUGGUUGGUCACCUAUUAUAUGCCCUAUCCCUGGUGUUCCUUCCUUCUGCUCCCUAUUAUGACUUUUGUCCCAUGUGGAGUCAGAUUUUCCUGAGUUGAGAUGUGCCUUUUAGGUCCUCCUUAGAUGUUUUGGAUGAUUGAUAUCUCUCACUCUUAUACCGGUCUUAGAUAUUCCUUCUCACUGAGCGCGUUGUUCUCUCACCCAAUAACCGGUGUUUUGAUAACAUGUCUCGCUUUGAGUUUAUUACCCGAUAGCCGGUAAUAUUUCAUUGUUUCUUUCUCAGCUGAGUCCCUUUGUGGGCGUCCCCAUCUGAGUCCGGAUUCUUUUUAUCCAAUGUAUCCUUUGUGGAUAGUUUCGCUGUAUUGGCAUAUUCCCCAAUACAUGUGUCUUUGUGUCAUCUCGAGUCUUUCCAUCGAUUUAUUUUCGUGGAAUCCCCUCGUGUCUCCCAGCAAGUUUUCCAGUCGUGACCUGCUCACGCAUUUUUAACCUAUUUUCCCAGAGUCUCUGACUCCCUAGUGAGUGUGUUACUCCUACGGAUCUUUCAGUUUCUCCCAAUUUCUUUUCCUUCAUGGCAUCUAUUCACCAUGAAGAUUUUAUUUUGCAUGCAUACAUUUGCAUCAUGAGGUCUCUUAGGGACCAAAAUUCAUCUCUUUGUUAUUAUUUAAGCCCAUUCUACCUCGUCGAGACGAAGAUUUUAACCUUCAUGAAGAUUUUAUUUUGCAUGCAUACAUUUGCAUCAUGAGGUCUCUUAGGGACCAAAAUUCAUCUCUUUGUUAUUAUUUAAGCCCAUUCUACCUCGUCGAGACGAAGAUUUUAACCUUCAUAUCUCCGUCUAGAAUGACCUUAAAUAGGGGGAUCUGUAAGACCCUAAUUUUAACCCUAAGAUCCCUCAUGGCAUCAUAUCAUUUGCUCAAUGCAUUGCCUCAAGGAUCAUAGCAUGUGUGGCUCCUUUACCCUAGGGUGGGAUUUUUGUGAGUUGUUUAAGACCACCAAGCAUGCUUGUAUUGUAUAUUAUUGCUUUUCUUAUUUUAAUUACUAACCAAAAGCACAAAAAUAUGUCACUAACUCUUUUUGUUUUGAAGCUCAAGUGAUCAUGUGCUCCCAUGCUCCUAUGAGGCUCCUAAGCUCAAUGAAGUGACUAAAUGAAGAUGAAAAAAAGCAUGACAAUGGUCCAAAAAGCUCCUAAUCAUCAUAUAUGUCUCCCAAGUAUCUCAAUUUGCCAAUUUGAUCAAGAUAACCCAAAAGGCUUGAGGAUUGUUUCCCAUGGAAACCCUAAUUCAACUAUGCAUUGACUGUGCCUUGCUCUUGAAGAAACCUCAACCUAUGAUCAAAUUUAAUCAAGGUAAGUUCUUUAAUUCAUUAUUUUAUUCAUAUAUGAGCUUAUUUGAGGUUCCUCAAUCAUUCAUUCAUCAAGAUUUGAAGUUUGUCCUUGAGAAGUUGACCAAACAAGUCAUCUGACUAAAUUGAGGUCGCUGAGAUACAUCUUUUGAUGUGUUUGUCAAAUAAAGAUGACCCCAAGAGUAAAAGUGUUCUUAAGAACCAUAUGAAAAUCUUUAAUGCUCAUCAAAAAUAAAUUUGAAACUUUUAAGGUCAUCAUUCAUUUCAAGACAUUAUAGGUCAUUUUGACUGAAACCCUAAUUUUGGGUCAACUUCCCAAGGACCUAACUUCCUCAAUUUUUAUGAUUUUGAGAUGAGACAAAAUGAAUAGGAAAGUUUAAGAUGUAUACUUAAAAUGUUAUGUUGGACAAAAUUUCAUAAUCCUAAAAUAAACACAUGUGAUAAUACAAAACAUUAUAGGUCACUUUGGACCUAAAUCAUUGAAUUUGAAACAAUGUCCAACUUCAAGCGCCCAUAACAUUAUCAUUAAAAAUCCAAAUGAUGAAAAAUUUAAGUCUACAUUGAUCACCUUUAAACGAUCUACAACUUUUAUAUUGGAGGUUUUUCCAUUUGAGGCUUGAAUACUUGAAACAGAAGGGAUUGAAAGUGGUUGCUUUUGUUGAAAAUUUUCAAAGGGAACCUAGACAUGUUUUGUACCCAAAAAUUCACAGCCAGUUUUAAUAAAUUUCCAAACUCCAAAUGAAUUUUUGCCCAACAUGACUUUUGUUCCUUAUUCCAAGAGCUUUCCAACCAUUACUCACAUGACCAUUUUUGGAUUUUCCAUAUGGGAGUUUCGAAGUGCUUAAUGUUUAUGCUCAUUUUUGCAAUUCACAUCAUAACUUGGAAUGCAAGCUUGUGCAGCCUCUUGUGCACGUCCAAUUCAACUACAUUUGAUCUCAGCAUUCAUCUCCAUUCAUUCUUGGGCUUUGUAAGCGCCUGUACAGGCCGAUGCAUGAAUGAUCCAAGUUUCAUGCACACGAGCUAAACACCACCUUGCAUCCAUUCCAGCUAUAAAUAGAUGCUCAUGCUCAUUCAAAAAUAAAACCUGAGGGAGAUAUGAAACGCUGCUGGAUUGAAAACCGAACCCUCACCAAAAGGAAUUUCAGUUUUCAUUUUAAAUUUAAGCUUGAAUUUCAACAUCAUUAGUUGAUCUUCAAGUCUUAAUUCCUUAACCUUGCAUCAUCAUCACACUUCCAGAUCAAAUUUGGACCAAGAGCUUGGACAAUUCGUAUUGUUUGAAGCUCCAUUUUAGAGGUAUAUCACUAAACAUUUUUUAUUCAGAUCUUGAAAUAUAAUGUGAAUCUCUUUGGUUUGUGGUGUUUUCUGAAAUCCUCAAGCAUGAGGCAGGCCAGUGGUGGUCUCAAUUUUGCAAAUCGUGCCAUUUCUGAUCAAGCACCAUGAUCUUCAAGCUCAGGUUUCUCUUUCAAUAGGAACUUUGAGAGUGAUCCAUGGUUACAGGGGUGAUGUACACCACCCCAGCUUCAUUUUGAUACCUUGCUUUUUCAUUUUCAUUGAAGUUGAAAUCCCUGCGCGUGGUGGCCGGAAUCAGUUGUCUAGCCGGAGAAGAUGGUGGUUUCCACCACCAUCCCCACGUGGGAGCUUCAGGUCCAUUGGAUCUUGAGGAAAUGUUAUAAUCUUGGCCUUUCAUUUGUUUGACUUCUUUUAAUUCAAUGAACUGCGCGCUUGACUUGAGCACAUGGUGUGACUGCGCCUUUGAACCCUCAGAUCAUUGCCACGUCAUUUAAUGAAAUGAUCCAAGCACGCUGGUUUUUUCUCUUUUUCUUAUUUCUGUUUUAAUUUCAUUUAAUUAACUUUAUUUUCAAAAAUUCAUAAAUAUUUUAUUUGAAGUCACAAAAAGAUGAGACCAAUGCCAAAAAAUUUCUUGAAAAAUCUAGUUUCAUAUUGUGAUUUUUAAUUAUUUUUGUGACUUCAUUUAAUAUUUUUUGUGAAUUAUUUGGUUUUUAAUAGUUUUAAUUCAUUUUAAAAUACUUUUUGAUAUUUGAAAAAUCCAAAAAUAUUUUCUUAACACAUAAGUGAAUUAUUUGGUUUUUAAUAGUUUUAAUUCAUUUUAAAAUACUUUUUGAUAUUUGAAAAAUCCAAAAAUAUUUUCUUAACACAUAUGGAUCAUGAUAAGUCAAUGAAAAAUAGUCUCAUCAAUUUCAUAAUUGAUUUGAUAUUUAUUUGAGAUUUUAAUUCAUGUUGUGUUAUUUUUAUUGUUUUUUAAUUGAUUUUAAAUAGUUUCUGAUUUCAAAAAUUGAUGGAAAAAUUUGUCAAAGUUUGUUUGACCAUGUUAGACCUAUGAGAAUUUAAUUGGACAUAUUGAAGUUGAUUGAAUUGAAUUUGAGGUUUGACCAUAUUUUGUUCAUUUUAUUUUUUCAUUUAUUUUAAUUCCGAAAAUUCCAAAAAAAUAUGUUUGAUUUGUUGACUUGUAACCUUCAUUUCUCUUCUGUUUAGCAUUGGUUGAUGAUGAUUUGAUUCACUUUUGACCAAUUGUAUUUGACACUUGAAUUCUCUUUUUAUUCAUUUCAUCUUCAUCUCAUUUCUUUUUAUUUUGGCCAAUGAGUUAAUGUCUUAUGGUUGGUCUUGACAUAUGAGAGGCUUAACCUUCUUUGAUCCAAAUCAAACUCAGCUUGAUCCAAGAUCAAGUAAGUUGCUUUGUGUCCAAGAUAGGUUGCUUCUUGGUCAAGCAAAAAACCUAAAGUCCAUACAAGGCCUUUCUCUUUUCUUUUGGCAUGGCAAGUUUUUGGAGCUUGGCUUACUAGUCAUGAUCUCUAACAUGUGUUUAUUUUCCUAUAGUUUUAUUGACCGACCUCAGAUAGGUGUGACUACUACAUUAGUCCACUUAUGAUUGCUUAACAUAGCGCUAAAUUGUCUUAUGACAAACUAACAUAACUUCACUAAUUACUAACUUUAAUUUGAGCAUUCAAUUUUUUGCAAUUUACUUUAAUGCACUUUAUUUCUUGCUCAUUUAUUCAUAUUUCCCUUUUCCCUUUGCUCACUUGAGCACAUAUUUUAUGUUUAUGUCAUUUUCCUUUUGCUCAUUUGAGCUCAUUAUUGUAUAUAAAUAUAUUGUUGUCUUGUGUUGGUUUUGCUUUUGCUUCGUGUGAACCCAAUGCAAAAAGGAUAAAGGACUUAGAAUUAGGACUUACCUAUGCUUAAAGGAGUUCAAGAGCAACUAGGCCUCAUGCCUUUAGAAUGCUAAAUUUGUUGAAGAGCAACUAGGCCUCAUGCCAUUAGAAUGCUAAAUUUCAAAGUUGACUUCAAAGGACUUCCUUUCCAAAACUCUUUCUUUAUCCAUUCCCCUUAUUGUGUUGUGAACUUUUCGAUGUUUGUUCUUGUGUGAUAGGGAUUCCCUCUUGAGAUAGUAAGAAGGACCAUUGUCAUGAGUAGCCAAGUUAAGAGAGACAAGCCAAAUGGAGAUUCUAGGAGCUUGAAUCUAAUUUGUUUGAUUGCUUGAUUGUGUGCUAAGUCCAAAGGAAAUGAGCAUCUUGAAUCAUCUCUAUGAUUUCAAGAAAAGGAACUCCAAGGGUUUUAUCUCUUCUCUUAUCUUUCUAUUGCUUUAGGAUUAGCCCUUCUCCUCUUCUCUCCACUCUAACCCAUGACAAACUCAUUUUGUGCAAACUUUAACUUUGUUUCAAAUUAGAAACCUAGGCCUUAUGCCUUUGACUUUUCAAAAUCUUUUCAUUAAUACUCAUUGUGAAUAAAUCUUAAUCCAACAUUGACCUCAUUUUGUAAAUAAACCUAACUUGUAAAUAUAACUGACUUCAAGUUGAUUUUGUGGUUCCAAUGACCACCUUGGUUAAAACCUUUUUUAUAAACAUUAGUCAUAGGUUUGAGUUAUCAUAGUGGUUGAUGUAAACCUCACCUUAUCCUUAGUGAUUAGAUUAUAAGUCUUCCAUACUUAUUAUAGGGUUAACCCUUCACUAGUAUGUGUAAGCUCUCCUCACAUGGUGGAUUGCUGGUUUAGGUUGAGUUUUCUCCCUUUGAUAACAAAAGACCUUAAGGCUUUUGAUCAAAUGAAUUCACCAAUCUUUGAGUUUUUUACCCCGAACUACGAGGUUUGGAUCCUCCUUUAUGAUGGUACGUAGGCAAUGGGUUCAUCCAUUCAAACAACAAAUUUGUAAAUAUAAUCUAUUCUCUUCUCAUCCCCCCAAUCUUUUGCACAUAAUUUCACGAAUACCAACCUACAACACAUAUUUGCAAAAAGAGGUUCCCUUAGAGUACUAAGGAUGUUUUGGGUGCGUAAAACCUUCCCAUUUCAUAACCAACCCCCUUACCUAGAUCUCUGACAUUUUUAUUAGUAACUAAGGAUGUUUUGGGUGCGUAAAACCUUCCCAUUUCAUAACCAACCCCCUUACCUAGAUCUCUGACAUUUUUAUUAGUUUUUGAUUUG
rnacentral:lncRNA from 1 species